UGGCCACCUGGUCCACGGGCAAGGACUCCGUCGUCCUCAACACCACCGGCACCCACUACUACCUCUGCGGCUACCCGGGCCACUGCGGCAUGGGGCAGAAGGUCGCCGUCCACGUGUCCGCCGCCUCCUCUGACGCCCCUUCCGCGGCACCCUCCAUGGCGCCCGCGCCGGCAUCCUCCUCCGGCUCCGGCGGUAGCACCGCCGGCCGCGCCGCCGCCGCCGCGCCUUCGCCGAACAAAAACGCCGCGCCGUCGACCGUCGGAUGCUCCGUCGCCCUGACCGCCGCCGCGUCCGUGCUCUCCGUCGCCGCCGCCGGCCUCAACCUCCUGUAGUCGAGUCAAGGACAUGGGUGUCUCGUCUCGCCUUGUGAAUCGUGAGCUUGCGUUUGUGACCGCCGCAUGAGCACUGCGUAUGAGCUUCCGGAGUCUGCGUUCCGUUUCUUGUUUUUGCCUCUUGUUCCAUAUAAACUCUAGUCUGAUUCUGUGGGUCCUGGUUUGAUUUGGGAGUUUGUGCCGGUUGCCGUCGGUUUUAGUUCUAUCAAUUGAGCACUCGUAUUAUCUCAGCUCCUUUCUCCACUGUCUGGCCUGCGGCUCUGAAGAUCAAUCCCUUGGGAAAUAUGUACAUGCUAGUCUGCAGCACAGCAGCUCGUGCAUUUCUGAAUUCGUAAAAUAAUUGCCCGGGACACAAUCAUUGAGCACAUCAGCGUGAUUACCAGGAUUCAGAAAAGUGUUGCCAGGAAGACGGGGGUGCGCUAGCGACCAGCUUUUCUUGACCUGUCAGUACUAGUACUAAUUUGAGAUGAUUUGCUACCGUGCGAAACUUGCACAGUUGCCCUUUGUGUCGUGCCUGCGGCGAUGGUACCCUGAUCUGGUUAUGUUUGUCCUCUGUGCUCAGUGACAGCCUGACAGCCAUCUAGAACGGUAGAUUAAUUCGUCAGCCGUUUUCUCGGGUGUGUAUUGUGUUUAUUCCCAUCUGAACUUCUGAAAGAUCUCAUGAGGAACGGUUGCCACAUCUAGGCAUGGACACCAUAAAUUUGACGGAGACAAGGUAGAAAUUGAGACAGACAGAACACGUAGGCACACAAAAUGCCGCUAAAUGAAGGUGUCAAAAGAAAUCCCAGGAAUGCGCGUAAAGCCGACGAUUCUUCCUUUUCCUUCUCAUGAGGAUUGCAAAUCAUCAUGCGACAUUGCAGUCGCACCAGCCUCGGCGACCGCAAGAUAACACAUACUCUCGGCAACUUGUUCCAUCCAAACGAUGAGGGCUGCUGAAUUCAUAUCGGCACCCGAGCGCGCAAUCAGAACAGCCAAUUGGACAUGGUAUUAUACGAGGUCUUGGACAGAACACGAUACGACAGCUAGAAAACCAGUAAAAAGUCCGAGACCAUCCAAAACAGAUUCGAGCAAUCUUUUAUUCUUAUGUAAAUCCGCAUCGCUUAUUUUCGAACUGAGCGAGUAGUAUAAAUGAAUAAAUUGGUAACAUUUUUUAGACAAGAAAUUGUUUACCUCUUUUCUUAGGCAAGAUAUCUUUCACUUUUUUUUUUGCCACGGAAGAAAGCUUUUUAACUUUUAUUGAAAAGACCAUCCAACCCCAACUUAGCGAGAAAAAGAAAAGCAACAAUAUCGUUUAUCCCAUAAGUUUAUGAUGAUGCCACGGGUUAUGACAAAGCCACAAGCUUCUGAUCUUAAGGUUUCUCCUAACGAUGUCUAUGGUUUAGCCAUGAAGCCACAUUUUAGCCGACGGAUGCAUGCAUUGUAGAACGUGGACAGUGAGACCUUCUAUGGCAUGUUCAGUUUUCUUUGUUCAAUCCCAACUUCCAUACUCGCGGGCUCGCAGCCCACAUACACACCAAAAACACUCGCAGCCCACAUGAAUUGUACUCAAUCAAAGACAAUUAUUAUGGAUACUGAAGACGGCAGAUACAAGGUGAAACUUCACACAACUUUUCGAUUUGUCCAUUCCUUUUAUUUGUAGCUAAAAAAAAGUGUCAUGUAACUGAGACGGACAAAACUAAUCUUUUAGCAGGUGCUGCAGCUCUACAGGCAGAGACCCUAAGGCAUCAUGACAGGCAGGCGCACCUGGACAAGGACAAAGGGAAGACCUCUCGCCAAGAUGAGCAAGCUGACAGAAAGGGCAAACGGAAGACUGAAGAUGAUGGAACACAGUGAUCGGUGAGCUGCUGGGAAGAGAAUGGAUCUCCGAACAAGUUGCAUUUUUUGCUAGCCCUGUGUGCUAGUUUCUGUUCUGUUAACUACCUUCUGUUUCGUUUAAAACGCUGAACUUGUGUGUGUUCUUGCUAGCCUUAGGCGGCAAGUAUGUGUGGACAUAUGUGGGUGAUUUCGGGUGUAUUCCGUUAUCGUCUGAUAGUGGAAUCCGAUCGUAUGAUCGUUUUUUUUUAAAAAAUGUGACCAACCUCGAGCUUCCAUAGCAUUGCAGUCUGCAAGCCGUGCCGUCCCACGACUUGGAAACGACUCGGGAACGCUCAUGCCGGCAGGCGACGCGAUCUGGACGCGCACGCGGAGAUCUAAGAGCAUCUCCAGCCGCGCCCCCCAUUUGGCGUCCGGCGCAGCUGUUUUUUAGGCCGUUUGGGGGGCGCCGACGGUUUUUUUUUAGGGUUCUGCCAUGACCCAGCCGCGCCCCCAAUAAGAACACCCCCCCACAAAUUUCUUUUUUGAAAAUAGACAAAAUUUAACUAAAUUCGUCGAAAUUUAAAUGAAGUAGGCGAAAUUUAAUUAAACAUAAAGUUUUUUCAUUACAUAAUUCUAUAAUAAAAAAAGGCCGCCUAGUCGUCGAGGUCGCUGAAGUAGGCGAGGCAGGCCUCGUCGGAGUCGAUUUCGACCGGCUUCGUCUUCACCUCCGUCGCAGGGCUCUUCCCCGCCUUCUUCUUGUCGGCGGCCUCCCUCUCUGCCUCCUUUGCGCUCGCUGGCGCGCUCCGCUGCCUGCUGCCCCGGGAACUCCUCGGGGUCGCCGUCCUGGCGCCAGGCGCUCGUACUCCGGUGUCGGCGCCCACUGCAGCUCCGGCUUUGGCCAGACUAGGUAGAGCCGGGGGAGCGGGAGGCGCCGGAGCCACCGUACCGGUGCCUGCCCGCCGGUGCCGGUGGGUGUGGUGGGGGCGUCUCCAGGCGGGGGUGAUCGCCGGCGGUGAUGUGCGCGAGCACUGCCGCCACAGAGCGCCCGCUCCAGAACCCCCGCCGGUCGUCGAUGUUGAAUCGACCUGGUAGCGGGGCUCGCGUUGGCCCUCGUACCAGGCGAUGUCGACGGCAUGGCGAUCGGCGAAGAAUGGCGCCAGUCGGCCCCGGUGGCGUGGUUCCACCCGGAGUCCUUGCGCUCCUCCGCUGUCAGCCCGUGCCACCAAUGGGCAUUGAGGGCGGCGGUCCGGGCACGGCCCGUUGGCACCGGCAGCGUCGAGAUGCCGCCGAUGCUGAGCGUCCAGUGCGCCGGCAGCCGGCAAUCGGGCGACGCCGGGUACUCAUGCUCGUGGAGGGCCUCGGCCUCCUCGAGUGUGAGCGUCGUCCGGCGCCAUGUAUCAUCGCCGGUAGCCAUGGUCUCGUCGGUGGGAGGGUUUAGGACGAGAGAGAGGGAGGGUUUGGGCGAGAGGGAGGAGAGGAGGCGCCGAGAGGAGAAUGCUGAGUACCGCCGGUGGUCACCCUUUUUAUAUCACCGGAAUGCGAACUGGCAGGCGUGUGAACACGACAAUAAACGCGGCCGCGUGGCAACCGGCGGGCUACCGCCAUUAAAAUCCACUCGGGAGCCGAGGAGGGGCCGGUGAGAAACCGGUAGGGCGUUUAAUUGUCGAUGACAAGGUGGGCCCGCCGCAAUAACGCGUUCCGUCGGCGUCCCCUGGGUUCGGCCUGGGGGCACCGGAUAACUUUUUGGGCCGCGCCGGAUGAAAAAACAAAUUGGGGAGACGGGCUGGGUGGGUUUUUAGGCGCCGGCGCCCCCCAAGCCCGUUUAGGGAUCCUUUAGGGGGGGGCCGGCUAGAGAGUGAGAUAUUUGAUGAGGAUUUUGAUAAGUGUGACCGUGAUGCGGACUACAUGCCACCAGGGCAUGUGGUUGUCACAAAUGGGUGGAACCAUGAGUGACAAGGCAAUGUGAACAUGAAUGCCACUCGUGAAGCUAUUGAGAAUGGACCGAUGGCCGAUAGGGAAUAAUUAGGCUAUGGAAAAAUGUACUUAAUAUUAGUGUUAUCCAUUAUGACAUUGCAUGGUUAACGUUUGGACUACGAUUAAUUAUGACAAUGGAUCCAUUACUAGUAUCUUUCUCAUUGUUAAAGUUAAACAAUAGUAUUUUACGCCAAAACUGAUUAUUAAACUCGUCAUUUGCGCUUACAUCAUCAAACUCAACGUUUAAUAAAAAGUUGCGGCAAACAGGGACAUUACAGACAUUCCACUUUCAUACAGGAGCAAGCAGUAACAGUUUCACUGUCAUGCUAAACAAACAGCAAGUCAGGUUCAACUCCAGCAUUACAGCUCCAGCAGAAAAUUAGUUUUUUUCAGAUACAGCUGUCUUGAGUUAACUAUCUUAUCUUAAGUUCAGCUCCAGCCUCAACAAAGCCUCAACAAAGUCAGCCUUACUCUGUAAGUCUGUAAGUUUUGUGAAACAAAAACAAAAGGUGGACUAGAUAAUCAUCCCGAGAUUAUAGCAAUUCCUUCGCUCCUCCAUAAGGCGCCGACGGGGACGGAACUAAACCCAACCAGUGCCCAGCUCUCGUGCGAAGCCUUCCCCUUCCCCAAGCGACGACGACCACCGUGCGGCGACGCGAUGGAUUCGAGGCCGCGCGAGGGAGACGCCCCCACCGAGCCUGCCGAUGGCGGCGCCCCGCCGGCCACCGCGAAGGUUGAGGUCGAGAUUACCAAGCCCCGCAACGACAAGCGUGAGUACCGCCGCGUGGUGCUCCCCAACGCCCUCGAGUGCCUCCUCAUCAGCGACCCCGACACCGACAAGGUCAAAACUCCGUUCGCUCGCUUCUUCGAUCGGGACGGGUCGCGGUACCUGCUGGAUUUCAUUUCGAUUUUGAAUUCGUGAUUUGUUUGCAGGGGGCGGCGUCGAUGAAUGUCUCGGUGGGUUACUUCUGCGAUCCCGAUGGGAUGGAGGGGCUCGCGCACUUCCUUGGUGAGCGUUUCGCUCUGGCUUGUCGCGUAACAACCAGCGGUAUGCUGGAUGCUGCUGUUUUUGCUGCUGAUAGUCGCUUUCCAUAAUCGGUACUAAUCAUUUAGCAUGGUGCUAGUGAUGGAAAUUUAACUGCACCUGCGACCUAAGGACUACGAUUUCUCUGUGCCGUGAUACUGCUCUGGUUGUAGUUUUAGGACUGUUAGGCCACGAAUUGCAUUUUUGCUAGCUUGUUACGAAGAUUGUUUUAGACCGGGUGCUUGUUAUAGAAUAUCCUGGGAUCUUGAGGUUUGUGUUCUUUUCGGUUGUUCAGUGGUAACCGCUAUUACUAGUGCUGCAUUGAUCAUGGUCUUGAGGUGUGUAUGCUUUUGGGUUGUUCAGUAUUUACCGCUAGUGCUGCACUGAUCAUGGCAUAUGACUAUGAGUCCAUGUAACAUAACAAAGCAAGGAGAGAGACACCAAAUAUCUAUAGGUUGUAAUUCUUUUAGUAUUAAUUCACAGGCAUGUACUGUCAUACUGUAUAGUCAGUAUAAAGCUCACAGAUUUUCUUUUUUGGCCUGAUUGUACUGACAUUUGAAAAGUUUCCUAGCAAGUACAUUGCAGUACUAAUUUGUCAGUAAUUUUGUAUUGUUUGAUUCACUAAUGGAGCAAUGCAUGCUUCUCCUUUUACAGAGCAUAUGCUUUUCUAUGCCAGUGAGAAGUAUCCUAUAGAAGACAGUUACUCAAAAUACAUUGCAGAGGUAUUUAUUUUUCCAGGGUCAAGAUUUCACUAUUUCUGCUUCCGUUCAUUCAAAGUAAUUUGUUGGUUUGAUCUAUACUGUUCACUGAUUGCAAAAGUUAGUGAAAAUGCUUCAAAACACCUGCGAGAUCCAGAACACAACGGCUUAACAUAAUGCAAUACUUGCAUAAAUAUCUCUUACAUUUGACAAGGAAUUGUCACUUGUACCACACUGUUAUGCCAACUAAUGCUCACCUGUUCAGUUCUGUAAUUACAGUGCUUCAGAAGCUUAGUGCGUUAGGGCAGUUUAAUAAUUUGGCAACUAAGCUACCUUACAUUUGAUCAUGGUAUACUGUCUUAUUGACUUAUUCUUUUAUAGAGUGCCAGUUGGUUGCAAUGUAGUACUAGUAAUUUUUUCGGGGAUAUGUGGCCUGGUCACAAUUUCCCUGUAUUUCAGUGAACUGAGAAAAUUGGCUUUGCAGCAGUACCUGCACCAUUUGGUUCUAACGCAUGGUAUUCUGCUGCUGGUAUUUUGCUGGGCAAGGCUUGAGCUCUUUAAUUAAAUCAUGAAUAAUACUAGCAAGAGAACCGCCUGCCUGGACUAUCAUGUGGUUGCUGAGAUCCUGAGAGGAAUUAUUGUUUCCAGAUGUUCAUACAAUAAUAUCACAAUCUUUAAGUGGAUCCUCUGUUAUUGUGUUAUUUAUCAUUGGUUGUGUAAUAUCGCCUUUUCUUGUAGCAUGGUGGUUCAACCAAUGCCUUUACAUCUUCUGAACACACAAACUUCUAUUUUGAUGUGAAUAGUGACUGCCUGGAUGACGCUUUGGAUAGGUACCUUCUACUGCUUUCUGUCUUUUUACCUUUUUUGUUCUUGUUUUGCAAAAAACUGAUCAGUCUUUCGUCUUGGCUCCUCUUUUAGGUUUGCACAGUUUUUUAUAAAGCCAUUGAUGUCUUCUGAUGCAACUCUGAGGGAAAUAAAAGCUGUUGACUCUGGUAUAUGUUGCUUUCCUCUUACUGUACUUGCUGGUUCUACCGAGAGGAAUAGCCUCUAAUUUUUUCUUAUUGCAGAAAAUCAGAAAAAUCUGUUGUCAGAUCCUUGGCGAAUGAGUCAGGUACUUCCAGUUUCCAGGCUAUCAACUAUCAGCUUUGUGAUAAAAAUCAUUUUCUGUUUUAAUUGGAUAAUUUCUGAUAUCUUGAUCUAUGCAUAUCAUUUUAUCUAUAUUAAGAAAUCAUUUUUUAUUUUGGCAUGAUGUUUCAUGGCAGAUGUUUAAGACUUUAGUAGUUAAUCAUAUGUAAAUUCAAUAUUUACCGUAAAUACGUGUCCUGAGAAAUUGAAUUAUCAACUUAGUUAUAUCUGCAAGAUUUGGUAACCAACUACAGGUUCUGUGACUUUCGAUUCUUAGAAAGGUCCGUCAACAAAGUAAUUAGAUAAUCAGAGCUUUGAACUACUGUUGGUUGCUAAUCACUUGCUAGUGACACGCUUUUGUCGUAAGGAAUAUUGUAACUUUGGACAUUUAGUUGAUAUAUGAUAUACAUAAUUUUUGGCUCAUGACUUACCUUGCUAGGAGCAUGGAAGUUCAGCCAAAAAUAUUAAAGUUGAAGUUCGUUAUUAUAUUUAUGGAAGUUGUCCAUUUUUUACUCCCUCCGUCCAACAAUAAGGGGCAUAUUAGGAUUCGGUUGACCAAGUCUUUGACCACAAAUUAUUUCAUGAAUAUGUGACUAAUGUGAUCAAAAUCAUAACCAUAAGCAAAUAUCCUUGAGUAGGAAUAUAAUGGAUGUGAAUCUAUGCCAUAUAAUUAUAUAUUAAUAGAGUAAUUUGUGGUCAAAGCAUUGGUCAAAAGAAAGGUAAUACGCCCCCUAUUGUUGGACGGAGGUAGUAUUUAUCAAGGGAUUGGUUGAAUCCCAAUCCCCAAGUGUCUUUUGUCUUUAGUAUUUGGAUGCCUAAAACAGAAUUAUAUGCAGAUCAUAUAUUCUAAAGGUUCUUCUAUGUUAGGGUUUAACCAGUUAGUAACUUAAUAUCCAAUGCCUGAAACCCUAAAUUGCCUUACGCCUGACCCGACACACCUGAAGUGGACGACACGGACGUCACAGGGAUCCUGCACAUAUGGCUGUCUUCUUCCUCCACACUGGCAUAUCUGCCCAUCUUCCAUGCAAAUUUAUGUAGGUCUCUGCUUUCCCAACAGAGGCAGUAAAGUGAAGCUGAGGCUAUGACAAUGAUGGCAGCUGUGAAGCAUCCUGACUUCGUCCGUGAUUUCUAACUGUGACCCCCAUCCUAUUCAUUGUCCCAACCCUUGACUGAUGUCGUAAAGGGUGGAGUGACUGAUGUCCCAACCCUUGACUGAUGUCCCAAUCCUGCACAAUAUUAACUCUUGCCUAACCUGCCUACUCCUGGUACAGCCGUUGGUCACCCUCAUUUUAUUGUGAUUGCGAUCACCUGUAACCAUGAUCGUGGGCGCGAGCAGUCAUCCCCAAGUUGAUGCACAGAUUGUCUUUCAUGUGAUUCUUUUUUGUUUUUUGUUUCUUAUAUUCUUCGUUUAUACUUUUUUGGUUUCAGCUCCAGAAGCAUCUUUGCUCAAAUAACCACCCGUAUCACAAGUUCAGCACUGGUGGGUAUUUUAGUUCUCAUAUCAAUUCUUUUAUAUCUGGUUUUUAUGCCAUCAGUGAGAUAUUACAACUAUAGUACUUGCUUACUACCUACUCUAUAUUUCUCUCUUCAUUUUUGGAGUCACAAAUAUACAUGAGAAAUAACUUGAGGAACACAUUCCAUUUUGCUUUCUGCUUCAGUGGUAAAAUGUCGUAAUGACCUAGGAGAAACAUAAUUCCAUGUUUACAUGUGUCACAUUUGCUUUUAAAUGUUAUAACAUCUGAACUGAGUUCAUAGAAAAUGUUUUUCACUACCUCCUAUACCUUGAGAAUAAACCGUCGCCAAUUACUUUGGUUAUCGUUUUGGGUUGCUCGUGUGGAGCCCUCUCCUCUCAAAUAUGACUGCUGUUUCAGAAUAAUUGAGUUAAACUCAAGAAGUUUAGACCAAAGUUAUUUACAGAAGUAUUUUGAGUAUCCUUAUGAAUAUUAACGUCUGUAGACUUUCCAUUGGAACUAGAAAGUACUCCCUCCGUUCCAUAUUAAGUGACUCAAAUUUGCCCAAAUAUAGAUGAAUCUAUUCCCAAAAAGCGUCUAGAUACAUGUAAUAUUUCGUCACUUAAUAUGGGACGGAGGGAGUACUUCGUUUCCUUUUUUGAAUUUACAGCUAUGUACUAGGACAAAGUUAGUGGUCAAAGCUGUAAAUUGGAGGCAUUAUUUCUAUACUAAAGUAUCUAGAUGUUUUUCUCUUUGCUAUCAGAAGUUAUGGAAGUUUUGAUGUGGGUCUUUGUUACUCCUGAGAAAGGUUGAUCAAUUAUUAUUAUCAUUUACUAAUAUUUUGCUCAUAUACUGUUUCAGGAAAUUGGGACACCUUGGAGGUUAAGCCAAAGGAGAAAGGAUUGGACACAAGGCUUGAGCUUAUCAGAUUCUAUGAUUCACAUUACUCAGCCAACUUGAUGCAGCUUGUUGUGUACGGAAAAGGUUUUUCAUCAAACCAUUUUGCAUCCUUCUCCAUUCUUAGAAACUCUUCACUCUUCCCCUUAUGUUUGCUGUAUUUGCAGAGAGUCUCGACAAGAUUCAAACCCUUGUCGAAAAUAAGUUCUUUGAUAUCAAGAACGUUGAAAGGAAGCCAUUUUCAUUUCCUGGUCAUCCAUGUGCAAGCAAGGAUCUCCAGGUGCUUACUGUUUUCUAAAAUGAGUCGAUAAUUUCACGUACCACUGGACCAGGUGCCUUUUUAGAAAUUGUAAGGAUGCUUGCGCACACAUUCAUAUGAUAGUUGAUGGCUUGCAGAUUCUUGUUAAGGCGGUUCCAAUAAAACAAGGUCACACUUUGAAAAUACUGUGGCCAAUCACUCCAAACAUUCGGCAUUACAAGGAAGGUCCUUGCAAGUAUGUGUCCCAUCUAAUCGGCCACGAAGGAGAAGGGUCUCUAUUUUACAUUCUAAAAAAACUAGGUAAGUCUCUUGACCAUUUGAAGUAAUGUGAUGCUCUUCCCUACCUUUUUGCCUUUUUCUUCCCUACUACUUCCCUCCGAUAGUUCAAAAAUGUAAGGCGUAUAACUUUUGUUGACUGUCAAUUUGUCUAACUCGUGAAAGUAUGACCAAGUUUAUAAAAAACAACUAGCAACUUUUAAAGUACUAAAUAAAGAUCACUAGAUCUAUUAUGAAAUAUAUUUUCAUAGUGUAUUCAUUUGAAAUAUUAGAUGUUAAUAUUUUUUGCGUAAGCUUGGUCAAAGUCUAGAAAGUUUGGCCGUCAACAAAAGUUAUGUGCCCUAUAUUUUGGAACGAAGGGAGUAUCAGGCUUUAUGAUCCAAAAUAGAGAGAGUAUCAGGUUUUAUGAUCUACUAGAAUAGAGAGACUACCAGGCCUUAUUAUCAACUUUCUGCUGGAUUCCACUGGGACUCCAACUCCUGUCUCAUCUUUUUGUUGCUUAUGCAUUAUUGUCUUAAUGGAAUGUUUAGACACAACAAUGAUGAAUGCAACUGUAUUUUCUAAGAAGUAUUGAACUUUCAGUUGUGUGAUGCGCUGGUUUCUAAUUAGGCUUGAUAUCAUAGUUUGUUUUUUGCAGUGAUGCGCUACUUUGGACCUUAGUUUCAGCUCUUGUGUUUCUCCUUUUUUCACAUGCUGUUGUACUGUUCUUGCAUUCUGUAUCUCUGGUCUCCCCUACUCUUUAUAAUAAAAUAAAUGAAAUUGAAAAUUUGCCCUUUUUCCUCUCUUGAGAAUAUGCAAAAAGCUUUGCGUCUCGAUGCAUUGAUUGAUUGAGAGAGAGAGAGAGAGUGUUAUGUAGGUCCUCAAAGAGGGCUACACCCGAGAUUACAAAGCUACACGAUUAGGUUUUUGUGUCUGCCGGGAGCAGCGCCCAAGCCCAACCGCACUGGUUUGCGCCCAGAGCCUAGCACCAGCCUUGAUCAGAUCGGCGAGAGUGGUGAUACUGGGAUGCGCAUUGUUGAAGACGGCCGCGCUGCGAUGCUUAUAAUCCACCAGGUCGUAAGCAUGAUGAGUGAAGAGGUGCCCUUCCUAGCCGGGGAAGGGGUGGAACGGACGGCCUCCUGUCACCAAUCUGUGAACACCCCAGUGGUUGGCUGGAUACCGGUGAUAAUUUGCCCUUUUAUUUUGAGUUGGUGUCGGAUACAAAGCUAAUAUGCUCUUUAGGUGGUAUUAGAAAAUCCUUUAUUGGUGUCAUUUGCUAUUUAUUACGUUCUCAUAUCAAGUCUAUUAGGUCACUUGUUAUUAAUAGUUUGGAUCAGAAGGGAGCUAUUGUGGUGUUUUCGUGUAAUAAUCAAGUGAAACUACACUUUGUUUGGAACAAACAGCCAAAAGAGCAAAACAUCCUACAUGCACAAGAUGUGAAAUGGAAAACCAUAGGUUUGAUGCUGCUAUGAUAUAACUCUAUUGAUGCUAUUUUUAGCUUGGUAUUCUGAUCAGUGAUAUAGUGUGACAUGGCGUGUUCAUUCUUCACCGAUGGAAGUAUAUAUUUUUCUUCUAAUAUUUCAGUGUUUACCCGGAUUAAUGUUGUAUUCUGCUAAAUUCUCCAGGAUGGGCUAUGAGUUUGGGAUCAGGGGAAGGGGAUUCAAAUUAUGAGUUUGCUUUCUUCAGUGUUGUUAUACAGCUCACAGAUGUAGGCCACGGUGAGUUCUCAUUCAAGAAUGGCAAUUUGGAUAUUAUAUUCUGUAACGGGAGUGGUAGUCACCUAUUUCACAAUUGGUAACUUUCAUGAUAGAGCACAUGGAGGAUAUUGUUGGGUUGUUAUUCAGAUACAUAGCAUUGCUUCAGACCUCUGGAACUCCGAAGUGGAUUUUUGAUGAGGUGAAUGUGAAUUAAGCUUUGUUCUUCUUUUGAAUUAUCAUCUGUAUGCGAGAUCAGUUGAAACUAUACAAUUAUCUUCCUCGUUUUAAGUUAGACAAUGAUGGAAGGACUUCACUACUAUUAGAUUGGGUUAAUUUUCUCAGAAAACCUUGUAUGUAGGAUCUUCAGAUUUUGUUAUGGUAUAUAGACAAAAAAUUUAUAAUUUGUCCACCACUUUUCUUAUACCUGUCCCAUUAUAAAUGAGAUUUUAGGGAUAAAAUUCCCUUCUUUUAUAAAUUAUGUCCUAUAUAUUUUAUAUGAAGCAUAACCAUAUCUUCCUAAACUCCCAGUACCUUAUUUAAUGUACACCACAUGUAUGAGGUAUUGAGGUUCAAUCCCUUGUUCCGGAGGCAAUCAAAUUUAAUAGUAGUAGCGGAUAUAACUUGAGUAGGGGCAUGAUGGAAAUCUUGUACUAUUUGUUAAUAUGCGUAAGUCUAAAAUGCCAUCCAUAAAUGAAGGAAUGGAAUGUACUUCUGUAUGGAUGUCUGGUCUUAACCGUUUGGACAAAUGUCGUUUGACCUGGGAGUGAGUAUAUGAUUGCAAGUCACGUCUCUUCCCUUAUCAUGCAAAUGGAAAAAUGUGUGCUGCCUGGAAAGGGUUUUUAUUUGUUCCUGUAACUAGAAAAAAUGAAAUAGAUUAUUGACUAGUAAACUCUAAUCAGUAAACUGGGGUUUGAACAUUCUAGACAUCACAUAGUUCACCUGAUGCACAACUAACUAUGUUAGCUUCUUUUGGGCAGCUUCUAGCCAUCUGUGAGACAGGAUUCCACUACCGAGACAAGAGCCCUCCUAUCCAUUACGUAGUCAAUCUUUCCUCAAACAUGCAGGUAUAUUCCAGUUAUCCUUUUUGGCAUCUACCUUGCCUGGUUCUCAUAAGUUUUUCUUAGCUACUGAGUGUCUUGAAUCAUGAUUUUUUCUGUGCAUGCAGGAAGUUAGCAAUUGUCAUUUUCUAUUUUUAAUUGCAUUUGACUAUUCAGAUUCUUGUUUCUUAUUGUGUGCAUCUGAGGACUAGACUCUCUUUGUUGUGCGUAUUCCAUUAGCUCUUCCACCUAAGUUCGGAUAGCAAGCAGACGAUUCUUUCUUUAAAAGGAAAUCUGUUUCUCCAAAAUCUUUUCACUUGGCUAUUUUCUAACGGAAUGGAUAUGGCUUUUGCUAACUCCAUAAGACAGCUACUGCAUAAUUAAUGCCAUGCUCAUUCUUUGAACUACUCCAUGGGAGUACAACAUGGUACACUACUCCAUGGGAGUACUACAUAAUACCAUAAUAUUCAAUUUCUCAGUAACAUGAUUUUGUGGGGGAAGAAUCUAGUCUAAACCCAAUUUUCAGUGCUACUUAUGUGUUCUUUGUUGUGCGGGGCGAGGAGUUUGAUUGGGUUAGGGCUGGGGCCUCGGGACUGGGGGCUUGCCUCCUCCCCGAGGGCUUUGACGUGCACUGAGCUUCCCCCUCCUCUUUUUUUGCCUUUCCUCCCCCACCUCUCCCUUCUUUUUUUCGUAUUGAUACGUCUAGGUGUUGUUAGCAAAUUAUCCCUUUGCGCGAGCAUCAUUUAGCGGUUCAUGGGAGCGUUAGCAAAUUAGCCCAAAAGAUGGGGUUGCACUAUAUACUUUCUCUAUCUUACUCAUCUAGGUUUGGAUAUUCUCUCUCUUCCAACGUUGGCACAUAUUAACAUAAUAUUGCUCUUUCUUCAGUUAUGUAUGUAGGGAUGUUGCAUGUAACGAAAUUCUGCAGAAUUUCUGAGAAUGUGAUUUGUAUUGAACUUGGAAUGAUCUAACUUUACUAACAAGAUCUGCCUAAAUGUUCUUGCUUAAAGGGUUCUGAAUGUUGCAGUUUCUCAUGUUUUUUUUAAUCCUUCUUUGUUCUACCGCAGAUUUUUCCACCUGAAGACUGGUUGAUUGCAUCGUUUGUACCAUCAAAGUUUUCGCCAGAUGCUAUUCAGAAGGUAUUAGAUGAAUUGACUCCAGAAAAUGUUAGGUAGGUUCUGACUUCUGAGAGCAUUCAUGCCAUGAUGGUUUUCCUGUUAUGUUAGAUUGAAAUUUUCAGUUAUUGAAAUUUUCAUACUUGAUCUUAUAUUUGAUGCUCAACACAUGCUAGUUAAAAACUGACGAUAUCUGUAAUUAAGUCAGUGGUACUCCAGCACAGUCCUGUCUGUAAAUAUUAUUAGACUAUGUUGGUAAAAUUUGUUUCUGUCUUAUGAAGCCCUUUACAUUUCAUCUCUACUACUUAUAAAGGCACCAACUAGGCAGGAAAAUCAAACCUACACCAUACAUGCAUAUUGAUCUAACGAUCCAAAUUCAUUUGUUCUCCCCACCCCUCUGUCCCGCAGGAAAAAAAAACGCCGACCACAACGCCCCACGGGCAACUAAUGGGCGACCCCAAAAAUCACGCCUCCCAUCUCGCAUCUCGCACAAUUCACUCUCCGUCUCUCCCCCGUCCCCAGCCCCCUAUAACUGCUCCCGCCCCAAUGGCAUCGCCCCCUAGAUAUGGCGCCAGGAGCUCUGCUGCGCGCACCGUCGAACCCAGGCGACGACAAGGAAGCGGCCUUGCGGGGUCGUGGAAAACAGCGAUUAGACGGUGGAUGAGUUCCACGUUGAAUCCGCCGCGGGCGUAUGCCGUGCUGCCCGUGCACCCACCUGCCAGGAGCAGGACCCCGGCACGCAGGACCAUCGCCUCCACUGUAUUGCGCCCUGCAGCUGGCCAACUCCUGCGAACUAGAUCGAUCGAUUGCUAAUAGCUUUGUCAUCCUGCUGCUUGAUGGCUGCAUACUAAAGUGAAAGGACUGCACAGUUUCUAAUUCAAAAUAUAUACAUGUGAAUUGUGUGAUAUGAAUUUGAUACCAUAUGAAAUCCAUACUCCUUUGGAGAGAAAAGAGAUUCAGAAAAUAUGCUUUAUAUUUCAGACGUGCGUGCACGUGCGCAUUUACGAGUAAUUUAUCGUGUCAUAAUAACAUGUCUUUAAUGACUUGAAGGGCCACUUAUUCCCUUUGGGCCAAAGGGCCAAAUAUGCAUGUACAUGGAGAAGGCAAUCUGAAAACAUAACACCCUGUACAUGUGAUAUACUUCCUACACAGCCUUGAGCACAUGCCAUACUUAAAGGAAAUGAAGGAUAUGUUUCCUGAGGCUUAUAGAGAGCACAUCCCAGCGCAUCUUGUAGACAGCUUCCAAUAAACUUUUUCUAAUCUGUAUGAACUACUCCCUCCGUCACAUAUUAAGUGUCUCAAAUUUGUCUAAAUAGGGAUGUAUCUAUAUACUCCCUCCGAUCCUAAAUUGUUGUCAAAAUAUUACAUGUAUCUAGACACUUUUUAAGAAUAGAUACAUCCAUAUUUGGGCAAACUUGAGACAAGAAUUUAGGAUCGGAGGGAGUACUAAAAUACGUCUAGAUACAUGUAAUAUUUCGACACUUAAUAUGGGACGGAGGGAAUAAGUUAAAAGCAUGUAUUUCAUAAGACAAUUAUCAUCAUGAUCCAUGACAGAAAUUGGAACAGUCAUUUCACUUCAUGCACGGUAAGACAUUAUAUUUUUGAUGUGGUAAGGCCUUCUCCCUAGCAAGAGAAGCUAGGGCUAGAAAGAUGAGACAAUUUAAGGUUGUGCUUACCAUAAAAUUUGAUACUUCCUCCGUCCAACAAAAGAUGUCUCAAGUUUGUCAAAAUUUGGAUGUAUCUAGACAUGACUUAGUGUAUAGAUGCAUUCAAAUUUGGUCAAAGUUGAGACAUCCUUCGUUGGACGGAGGGAAUAUUUGUUCUUACGAAAGUGGAGAGAAAUUUCAUUAUAUUUUCCUUUGUAUUGAUUUGUCAACCUGAAGGAUGUUGCCCUCACACUUCUAUCAUCUGUCUGAGGGCCAUCUGCUUUCUUCUCUUCUUUUCUGCACCUUCAACCUAUCUACUCCCUCCGUUCCUAAAUAUAAGAUGUUCUAGUUUUGUCCUAAGUCAAACAUCUUAAAGUUUGACUAAGUUUAUAGAAAAAUCUACCAACAUCUACAACUCUAAAUUACUUCUAUUAAAUCAGUCAUGAUAUAUAUCUUCGUAGUAUACUUAUUUAAUAUUGUAGAUGUUAGUACAUUUUUCCAUGAACUUGGUCAAACUUUAAGAAGUUUGACUUAGGACAAAACUAGAACAUCUUAUACUCCCUCCGUCCCAUAUUAAGUGUCGCAACUUUGUCUAGAUACACAUUUACCUACACACUAAAACGCGUCUAGAUACAUGCGUACGCGUAUCUAGACAAAGUUGUGACACUUAAUAUGGGACGGAGAGAGUAUUUGUGAUCAGAGAUAGUAUUUAUUCAGGUUAUUUUUAUUUCUCUUUUCCCUGUAUACAAAUGGGUAUUUACUUACCGGAGUUAUUUAAUAUUGAUUAACAUCCAUAUCCUGUCAGAAUAUUCUGGGAAUCAAAAAAAUUUGAAGGGCAAACAAACUUAAUAGAGCCAUGGUAUGGUACAUCAUACUGUGUUGAAGCAGUCCCUCCUUCAAUUAUACAGGUGCGCAUUGGGACACUACUGUUCUUAGUGUAUUAUCAACUAUAUGUGGAAAAUGCAUACUUUUUGUCUUAUCUUAAAGAUCUGUUUUACAGAAAUGGAUUGAGAAAGCUCCCAAGGAAGAUUUGCACCUCCCAAAACCUAAUAUCUUUAUUCCAACUGAUCUUUCACUGAAAAAUGUCGAGGAUAAGGUAUUUAUAUUUAUAUAAGAAAAACUAUGUGCUUGAUUUUAUUAUGGUUAACUCACAUGAUUGAUUGUUCCGGCUUGUCCAGGCAAAUUUUCCAUGUGUGCUGAGGAAAACACCAUUUUCCAGAUUGUGGUACAAGCCCGAUACAAUGUUCUCCACACCCAAGGUCUACAUUAAGAUGGAUUUCCAUUGUCCACUGGCUCAUAGCUCUCCUGAAUCAUCAGUUCUUACUGAUGUAUUCACAAGGUUGCUGAUGGAUUAUUUGAAUGAAUAUGGUAUGCAACAAUAUCUCUGAUCUCUUUAAAUUUUUAUGGUUCUUAUCGCGUAGGCUGAUAAUUUGUUUCACCGAGUCUUAAUUUCUAUUUACAUGAGGGCUCGCAUGGAUAUAGACACAUAGUUCAUCUCAGAUAGGGCAUAAACAAGCUGUUGUGUGAAUGGUGAAGUAGGGAUCUUUUUUUGGGCGCUAUAUAUUUUUAUUUGGCGAAAACAGGAACUCAUGGUGGGUAUAUCAGUAUAUGCAGUUCAUUUCUAAAGUGAAGUAUAUGGCGUUUAUGUAUGUCUGUCAUCCACUACUUGUCUGGCAGGUGGGAAUGCAGGAAACAAAGAAAAUGUGGGAUUGUCUGGGGUGGGUAGGGUUUGGUAGACCUGGAGUUGCGAAACUUUUGUAGCCUCAGCCUACAGGUUGUUUGACCUUUGAAUCAUGACCAUCCCUGUCAUUUACAUGUGCUCUGGCAGGCUUGUACAGGGUGAAAUUUCGAUGGGUGAAUCGCAUGGGAAUGGGGCCUUAACGCUUCUCUGGUUCAUUUUCCUGUUGCACUAAUGAACCAAUUUUUGUUUUUCUUUCAGCUUAUGAUGCUCAAGUUGCUGGUCUUUAUUAUGUUGUUGGGCCAAAUGACACUGGUUUUCAGGUUAGUUAUGCAAUCCAUUUUGAUAUAUUUUUUCCGUUCAUUGCCUAUCCAGUAUUAUUCACAGGUGUUACUGUUGAGGUACUAUAGCAGCUGUACUGUUCACUAGUUCCGCUUGUGUAACAUUAUCUGGAAACUGGAGUCAGCUCCCCUUUAGUGGUGUUUAUUAUUCAUGUAUGUUUACCUUGUGGACAAGAGUCUGAACUCAUGACUUGAUAUGAGAUGUGUGUUGCUGAAAGUUUAUAUUGUUUUCUAAUCCCCCCAAAAAAUUUAUUGCCUUGUAGGUAACUAUGGUUGGCUAUAAUGACAAGAUGAGAACCCUUUUGGAGACCGUUAUAGGCAAAAUUGCAGAGUUUGAAGUUAGGGUUGACCGCUUUUCUGUGGUUAAGGUAAUGGUUAAUGCUACACUGAGUUGUUUUUAUGGUUCUUGGUUACUAAAUGCCCCCUGGAGGUAAGCUGUGAUGCCAUGAUUUGGUUGUAAUUUGUAUGGGUAGGGAAAUUCAGAACUAGUUAGGUCUAAGAUGAAGGGGUUUUUCUUUUGUCAUUAAAUGACAUUAUUUGUUGUUUUCCGAUUUUAAGCUAGAAUUCUAUGUAUAUUAUAUGACUUGAAGGGGUUUGUCUUUUUUUGUCCUUUCAACAGGAAACUAUGACGAAGCAGUAUGAGAAUUUCAAAUUUCUGCAGCCAUAUCAGCAAGCCAUGGACUACUGUAGAUUGAUAUUGGAGGACCAAACUUGGCCAUGGGAUGAAGAACUUGCUGUACUUUCUAAUCUUGGAGCUAACGAUCUAGAGAUUUUUUGGCCUCAUAUGCUGGCAAAGACAUUUAUUGAGUGCUAUUUUGCAGGUUUGUUCUAAUUGACUUAAAAGUUUUUGUACUUCUCAUUGAGUUAUUUCUUAAUCUUUCUGAUGGCCUUGUUUUUUCUGUCUUCCUAUUUGUAUCUUUACUGAGAGAAUGAUCUGCAUUUCUGCAUUGUUGUUCUUGAUUGAACAUGUAUUUAUUUUAAGGUAAUAUUGAACCGGGCGAAGCAAAAGGUGUUAUCCAGCAUGUUGAAGACACCUUAUUUAACUCACCAAUCGGUGUCUGCAAAUCAUUACUACCAUCGCAGCAUCUUACGAAGCGGAUUGUUAAGCUUGAAAGGGGUUUGAAGUAUUAUUAUCCAGUAAUGGGCUUAAAUCACCAGGAUGAAAAUUCUUCCCUUCUGCACUAUAUUCAGGUAAACCUUAUGCCCUUGUUUCUUCUUCCAUGUUACUCCUCCAUCCCAGAAAAAAUGUCGUUUUAGGUUUUGUAAUUUUUCCCAGAUUAAAUGUCGUCUUAGGGAUAGUUAAUUCUGCAUGCACACGCUUUGCUUCGCUCGGUACUAGAUGUGCAUGUGCUAGCGCAUGCACUGGCACAAGCAUGGGGGCCCACCUUUUGCAUGGCUCACUCAUUGGACAAAGCAAGGCAUGCAGCCAGCGUAUGUGUCUUUCAGCCUUCCCGAGCUGCCGCAUUAAACGCGUUUGUAAAGCUACUCGUAUGCACACAGUGCUUCAUUGGUAUUUGCGUUUGAUCUAAAACGACAAGUAAAAUGGGAAGGAGGGAGUACUUUUAUUCCAUCUCUUUUGCAGAGGGAGUACUUUUAUUCCAUCUCUUUUGCAUUUACAGUUACACUAGUUUGAAGUACCGUUCUUUCACCCUUUUAAGAAUUACUGUUUAUUUGCUGAUGUGCCAUAAUACCAAAUUUGGCUCGUCGAUUGUGUUGCAUGUUGAGCAUUACAACCAACAUGAGAUGCAACAGUUGAAAGUUCAAACACAGCACGAGUGCAUACAAUAACAAUGGGAUAAAACUGAAGAUUGGAGAGAAGAACAAUAAGAAAACAUAAAAUACUGCUGAAGGAGACUGCAAAAUGUCAAUACUUUCUGCAAAUUUUAUUAGAUUUGUAUGACUAGUUAAUUCAAUUUAUGUGCUUUAUACAAGACUGUUAUUUUACAGAUAAAAGGAAUUAUAAAAUACUGAAAUAGUGGGUUUGUACAAAGGACUAAACCAAGGUUUCUGCCGCAACACAGGCACAAUUAUAAUUCUAUGAUUCUAUCAAUUAAAUCUUAGAAGCAGGACUGGGAAAAUAAAUAAAUUCAAAGCAGUUUCUGGCUGGCCUAGCUGAUGCCAGGUUUGGUUUGUAAAUACUUCUGAAUGAUGCUUACGCUUGAUAACAACUGACAGUGAUCAUCAAAUCGCACUUUGGAAAUUAUAACACAUCGGUGCUAUACCAGACUGUAUGCUUCUCUGGGCCAUAUACCAAUAUUCUGCUAGUGUGCUUACGGACCUCGUCUUUGGUAUGGUUGGCGAGCAUUCAGUUUGCUGCAUUACCAUGUUUGUAUGUUAGUGGUAACGACACCUGUGUGAUUGACAUCAUGCUAGCAGAAUCGAUGUUCUUUUUAUGUUGCAUACAUGGACAGCACACAGCAGAAUUUAUGCUCUUUUAUGUGCAUACUUGGAAGCCAAUGUCAGCAACCAGUACCAUGGAUGAAAACCGUACGGAAUCCUGACACUAUAAAUAGGAACUAAAUUCCCGUCCAUGAGAAUUUGAAUCCAGGUGGUGGACUGUUAUGCUAGGCUAGUCUUUUGAGCUAUAUUUCCUGAUCUUAAGUUUUUCAAUACUUUAGCUUGUUAUCUUAGUUUAUCCCUGAAACUCCAGACAUUAAAAUGGUAGUAUAACAAUGUUUCCACUGCUGCAGAUUCACCAGGAUGAUCUCAAACAAAAUGUUCUACUUCAGUUGCUUGCACUUGUUGCUAAGCAACCGGCUUUUCACCAGUUACGUUCUGUUGAACAACUUGGCUACAUAACAUUGCUUAGACAAAGGUAUUGUGGUGCCUUGAUUUUUAUUACAUAAAUGUUAUAAGGAUCUACUACUCCCCAGAAACUAUGUUUCGAAUGCAUUUCACUAUAGAAGAAUGGAAUGGGCCAGUUCAUUAAGAGAAACUGACCGAAAAUCAUGAAUGCAGCGCCCUCAACCGCAUAGCUAAACUAGGCCUAGAGCCCCACCGACAGACAUACCACCAAACCUCCUACAUCAAAAGGACAACCAAGAGGCACCAAGGCCCACAAGCCACACACCGCCGGAGUCAAGAAACUGCACACGCACACUCAACCCGCCAAGAGAGGCAUGAGAGAUUUAAAUUUAAACACGGUUGGCCAAGAGAUUUGCCUGGGCCACUCAACCGGCAAAGCACAUGACUUGUAUAACCACUCCCAACACCGUCCCCAUCGGAGGUCCCUACCGUACUAGGAUUACGUACACCGUCAUCGAGCAGAUCAGACCUGCCUUGAACCACAAGGGCGUAAGAAACUCUAAAAACUACUCCGCUGGAAGCACCACAGAGAACCUUGUACCACCGUCUGGAAGCUGCACGUCGCGCAGUAGACACCCACAACGUCAUCAGUCAUCACCACUGGGAAAGAGAAACCAGAUUCACUACCAGAGGCACAGAGAGUCAGGACCCUGCACUUUCCUUGACGCCCAUCAAGUCUUUGGCCCCUCCUGUCCUCCCAAACUGCUGCUGUCUGAGUAGCCCACUGACACCACCUCCUGAGGCCACCACCUCGGCAACGCUCACACCCAAGUAAUCGUAUUCUGGGCCGGAGCAAUGAACCUAUUUGAAGUGGCCCAUUUCGUGCCAGAAAAGCCUAUGUAUGAACAAGGGUUGAUUUUACUUCCACACUUAGCUACCCUAGGUUGGGGAGUCGGGCCAGGGGGAGAAGUUCUCGAUACUUUUCCGUACUUUGUAUCUGGAGUACUUCACCUAAUUUCCUCCGCAGUCUUAGGCUUCGGUGGCAUUUAUCACGCGCUUCUGGGACCCGAGACUCUUGAGGAAUCUUUUCGUAGCGUCAAAUGGGCCGGCCACCCCUCAGCUCAAGCCGCACCAAUCAACAUGCAGUCUGCGGCCACCACGAUGAUACCCGGGCUGGCUGCCCCGACAUCCACGCCCAGCCGUAAGGGGGAGCACAAGUUGCUGUCAUUGUCCGGGACCUCCUAUCAUUUUGCCUUCGACCUCACUGGAAGUCCAGCCGAAGGAGGUUGGUGGCCCUGCUGCACCGUGGUCACCAGGACUCUCUUCCUGGGCCGGACCCGACCUAGAUCAGGCCUAUUAACCAUGCAUGCCGAGGAUGCUUGGAAAUGGCAUAGCAGUGUGCAGACCUCUGAUACACCGAGGAAGCACGAAAUGCGCUGGGACCUCCUUCUCCGCCAGCUAUGGAUCUGCCGCUGCCGGCAUCUUUGCGCACAAACAACUGAACAAAGACACUGCACAACCGUACACACCCGAGUCAUGUCAGCUCUGUUUGCCGCCGCUGCUCAGCUACAUUGUACCCACAGCCAGCUAGGUCUCGGCUGCACUCACCUCUGGCAUGAAAUCACAGGAGGUGGUUGUAGGCCUAUUUGGGUGGCGGCAGCAUCUCCAGUGUCUCCCUAGGUCGAGUGACACGGCAAGCUCCUUGCCAUAUUUUUCUGUUUUUUAUAAGAAUUUCCACUUCUUAGCAGGGGCGGAGCCAGGCCUGGUGCACAGCACCGGCCUGGCAAGGAUGCUCACAAGAGGAUUCAUCAAGUAUUUAGUUCAUUAGUAUGUAAAAUCCACAAGUAUAGCACCAUUAGUCCUAUCUUAGCACCAUCCUUGCCCGGUUUUUGGCUCCGCCACUGCUUGGCAUCAUUGAAAUGUCAACGGUGGGGCAGGGGAAAAAACUGUGCAGGAAGUUGCGUAAACGGACCAUGUGGUAGUAUGUAUCCUACUUUUAUCAUUUUUAAUAAAUACAACACUAUUUCUUACAUGGCGCCGUAUCUGGUGAAAACCUUAGUUCGGUGCAAACCGUGCAAACUUCAUGAAAAACCAUGUUUAAAAGUUUCAAAAAAAUUCUACAAAAAUACCAUAUGUCGGGAGUUUGAUGUUCUACAAACCUGCAAAAUUUCAAGUUCAAAGUCAAAAUCAUUUAGAAGGAAUUAAAAAGAGAAAUUUACAAUGAAUAGUGUCAGACAUUGAAAGAUCACUAUUCAUGCAGAAUUUGUUUUUUUCGCCGCUACCAAAUGCCAUUGAGUUUGGACUUGAAAUUUUGCACAUAUAUAAAACAUCACUUUUUUAACAUAUUUAAUUUUUUCGAGAAUUUUUUGAACCUUUUUCGAUGGAGUUUCCACAGUUUGCACCGUAGAGGUGGUUUUCACCUGAUAUUUUGCCUUCUAACAUACUUCAAAAACUAUGCACGCAGCAUCUUGCAUGCUCUCGGAAAUAAAACUAUGUUCUUUGCUUUGCUUUUGGAUAAAUGUUGUAUUUUAUCUGACCAUGCAAUCCUGGUUACCCAGAAAUGAUUCAGGAGUCCGUGGGUUGCAAUUUAUAAUUCAAUCAACUGCAAAGGUGAUAUCUUUUCUUGUUACAAUUCAAGUUCUUUAAAUCGUUCUCCCGUCCUAAUACAUUUGGUUAACAGGACCCAUUCAGUCUAGACGCUAGGGUUGAAGCUUUCCUCACGAUGUUUGAAGGCACUCUAUACCAAAUGCCUGAUGCAGAAUUCAUGGUUAGAUGCACCCUGUCACUGCUACUCAUUGGCUUCUGCUACAGGUAGAAGCUCUGUUGCAUGGUUCUACUAUUUUAAACAUCUAUGGUCCAACCUGCAGAGUAAUGUCAAUGCUCUCAUUGACAUGAAACUGGAAAAAUACAAGAAUAUAAGGGAGGAGUCAGCUUUCUUCUGGGGGGAGAUUUCUGAGGGAACACUGAACUUUGGUAGGAAGGAAGCAGAGGUACGUCUUAUUUGUUUAUUUUGCCCUUUGAAGUAUCGUUUUUUAACGUUUUGAGUUCUAUAAUUGUAGGUUGCUGCACUAAGGGAGCUCAAGAAGGAUGAGCUGAUAGAAUUCUUCAAUAAUCAUGUCAAGGUGAACGCACCAGAAAAGAAGAUUCUUAGUGUACAAGUCUAUGGCGGUCUUCAUUCCUCGGAGUACGAAAAGAUACUGCAUGAUGCUCCACCACCACAUUCGCAUCGAAUAACUGAUAUAUUCAGCUUCAGGAGGUCGAGACCUUUAUAUGGUUCAUUCAAGGGAGGCGUUAGUCAGAUGAAGCUAUAGGAUAACUUAGUUGUAUUUAUCAAAAACAGAAAGGCUCAUUUUUACAUGUAAUUUGCAUUGUUCCUAAAGAUAUUUUUAGUUUUACAUUUCGCUAGGGUGAAUUGCAUACUUUAAAAAUGGCAUUCGUCUGGUGUAAUCUUCCAACUUUCUGUCAAAUUCAUGAUAAGCAUGCCUUUUUCAUUACUAAUAAUUCUAGGCGUCUGUAUAAUUCCAUGAGCAACUGCAAGCUUCAUAAUAGUUGCAAUAGAUACCCUGUUUGUCUCGGCUUCUUUUUUCUUUUUUCUGAGGGAGUCUGACUCACCUUUUUAAUUAGUUGAUCUGAGAACCCUUACAGCUAGAGGAAACCGUUUCAUCCUGAUUGUCGAUUGUGCCUAUAGUACGCUUUUAUUUGCUUUUAUUUUAAUACUCCCUCGGUUCCAAAUUUUUUUUUCGAAAUAUUACAUGUAUCUAAAUGUUUUUUAGGAAUAGAUACAUUCAUUUUUGGGCAAAUUUAAGACAAGAAUUAUGAAAUGGAGGGAGUACAUCCUUGGACUGGCAAACAAUAUCUUCCAUAGAGCUUAAUGAUUUCCAACGGGGACGGAAAAUUUGGGCACAUAUGACAAUUUGGUGCUUUGAGCCAUCUACUUGCUCGUCAGUGUCGUGUUUCAGCAUGCGGAAUUGCCUUCCGAAGGACAGUUUAGGUACGAUCUCUGUACGAUUAUGGGACGAAGAAUGUAUGUGUUGAAAUUACUAGGCCAGCACAUGUACUUUCUCAUAACAAAUUAAGAAAACGAUUCCCCAAGAAAAAGGAUUGUAGACAACCCAUGUUACCCCUGGAAAUCAAUGGCAAGACGACGCUAAUACAGCUCAAUUAAGAGACAUCUGGUUCUGUGUAAACAGGUGCCAUGAAUGUCUCAAGUACGUCUGCAUCACACUGGGGAAUCGUUAAAGAAGCAGCUUUUUACGGUACCUUCAAAAGGUAUCAAGAUCAGCUGCCUCCUUCCCGAGGACGAAACUUUCCCUCGGACGUACCGAACUGGAAUCUGGAGAAGUGCUAACCUCCAACACGAUGAUUGUAAGAUCGUUACAUGCCAGCAGUUUGUUGCAUACUGACAACAGAGGACUCUGGACAACAGCUAGAUGGUCCAACCGUCGUGGAGGAACUGGUCGCGGUCGAGCGUGUACCGCCCGUGAAAGAAGAAGAAGAAGCUCCGGCACUGGAGGAAUCACCGGGCGCCGGCGAGCCAGCGGCAGCAGGGUUACGUUUGCCGCUGUACCCAGCUGCAACGGUCGGCGAGUACGUCGGCACGGGCAUCUUCGGAGGAAGACAAGGCAACGGAGCCUCGAACUGAAGCACGCCUAGCGCUUGCUUGAUAGACGGCCGCGCGCCACGGUCCGGGUGCGCGCACCAGAGCCCCACCACCAGCACGCGUUCCACCUGCGUUUGGUCAAAUUCGCCGCCGUUCAGGCGAUGGUCGGCCGCCUCUAGAACUGCUCCCCGGCCGUAGAGGCCCCAGACCCACUCGAGGAGGGAGGAGUACUCGCUGUCGUUGGCCUCCUGAUCCGCUCGGGCCGGCAGCCGCAGCACCGGCACUCUGCCGCAGCAGAUCUCAAGCAGCACGAUGCCGAAGCUGUAGACGUCGGACGCGGUGCUCGCUCUGCCGGACGCGGCGUACUCUGGGUCCACGUACCCCCUGGUUCCCGCCACAACCGCCGUCUGCAAGCUGUUGCCAUGGUCGAGCAGCUUCGCCAGCCCGAAGUCGCCGAGCUUGGCGCCCAAGGACGCGUCCAGCAUGAUGUUGCUGGGCUUCACGUCCCUGUGCACCACGCAUUUGUCGCACCCCACGUGCAGGUAGAGCAGCGCCGAGCCGAGCCCGAGCGCGAUCUCGUACCUGCUCGGCCACGUCAGGACGACGCUGCUGCCCGAAGCGCCGUGGAGGCGGGCGUCGAGGCUGCCGUUGGGCACUAGCUCGUAGACGAGCAGGAACUCGCCGCCGCGGUGGCACCAGCCCACGAGCUCGACCAGGUUGCGGUGUCUUAGCCGGCUUAUGAUGGAGACCUCGGCGACAUAUUCUUUCCUCCCCUGCUGGGAGCUCUUGGAUAUCCUCUUCACGGCCACGUCAAGACCCAGGUCGCUCAAGGAACCCCUGUACACCUCGCCGAAGCCACCUUCCCCGAGCUUCCCGUCCUCGGAGAAGUUGUUGGUCGCGGCGGCGAGUUCGCCGUAGCGGAAUCGCCUCGGGCCGGUGCCGUUCUCGAACUCCUCGUCCAUGCUGCACCGGUCGUCCGAGUCGGCAGACGCCAUCUCCUGUUGGUGCUCCUCGCUCAUCCGCCGGCGCCUCACCAUUAGAAACCGGAUCAAUACACCCACAACAACGACACAUAUUAGCAUGGCACCGACAGCCAGUCCGACGAGCGGCCGGACAAUACUUUUGGAGGGAAAUUGUUUGACCGAUAUAUCGGGCGCUUUUUCUUCCGUCACAUUGUGUCCUCUCGGUUCCUGCGGUGUCACCGCCACCAUUUUCGUCGCCGCCAACGUGGAGUUGAAAGACCAGGUGAGCACGCGAUGCAGAUCAACGGACCAACCGCUCGCGGCAGAGAACCCGAUGGCCACCUCGGAAGGAAGUAAGCUCUCGAGAUCAACGGUAGUAUUGAGCUCGUACCUCGCCAUGCCACCAUCUGAGCUGCGCUUUAGCUGUAGGGCGACGGCGAGCAGUUUUGUACUGCUGUUGUAGCUCACCCACGCAACCAUCGGCUCCUCAGAGCCGGCGAGCUCGCCCGCCGGCAGCUCCAGUACCGCGAUGGAGUUGAUGGAGUUGACGUCGAUCCCGAUGUGGUUGAUGGUCGGGUCCCAUUCGUUUGAGAAUGUGUCGAAUUCCACCGCCACCACAGCUGGUGGAGUCGUACCGGCGGGGGUGCUUUGGUUGAAGAGGCCGAGGUAGCCGCCGCCACUGAAGGGAGGCAUUUUUGACGGGUGGGACGAGAGGAAGAAGGCGAUCCCGUCGCCAGGCGCGAAGGUGCUGUUGUCGAUGGCCGCCUUGAUGACGAAGGAGAAGCUGGUCGUGAAGCUCGUCACCUCGCCGGUGGCAUUGUCCCAGAGGGGCACCGGCUUGCUGUAUGACGCCCGGCCCCAACAGUUGCACUUGCCUUGGGAUCUAGGAACGGGAUUCUGGGUGAGGUCGAUGGGGCUGUCAUCUUGUUGAGGGAGAGUCGCGGGUCCCUCGGUCGUGAUGUCGGCACGGUCGUAAGUGGCAGAAUCGGAGAAGUUGUAGCUGAACGACAGUGGCCUGCAGCGAGGAAGCUUGGAGAUGAGCAAGAAGGAAGUGAGGAGUAAGGCUGCAGGGAUUGUUGAGCUCACGACACCCAUUGCCGCUGCCAGGAAGUCAGGGACACAAAUGGCGCGCGGCAGCAAUGUGGAAGAAGAUGCAAGCUAAUUUAUCGCAAACAGCGGUUGGCCGGAAAGACUUUUCUACGGGCACGUCAUGUAGCGUUACUGUUCUAGCGAUCAGCAGCUAGCUAUUCUCGUUGGCAAACCGGGCCCUUUGCAAAGGUGUUUUUACUUGAGCAAAGCGACGACCCAGAAAGGACUCUCUCGACAAACAGGGCUGUUCAUGCACAGCAGAUACAAGCAGAGAGCCCACGUACUGCUCGUCUUUCCAGUCACCCAGAGCGAGUGCGGCCCACCACGUGUUGCCGUGUUGGUUGUCAUAAGGUGUCGCGGCGGUGACCCGGGUCAAGCGAAACCCCACACAUUCAAUCACGCUGCAUGAUUGGCGCGUCUAUCUUGGCCCUCGUUGCCACCGUUUGCAAAGGGAGUCUCAGUCUGGUCGAUCGGAGGUCUCGCUGACGACCCAAGCGAGACCGAGACGACGCGACGCGCUUGAAGCGCUUCAUUCCCCUGGACGCACCACGAAAGCGGGGCGACGUGGCUUCAACCGGGACAGGACGAAAUACAGGUUGCUGCGUCUUCCGGGGUUCGGGCCACUUUAUUUGAGCUGGCGAUCACAUUCACACGACGGGUUCAUGCGGACGAGCUAGACGAGCAAAUAGGCCCACGCUAGGAUUCCGCCGGAAAUCACCAGACACCGUUCAUUUUGUUGCAUCAAACGAUUGCGCGUAGAAUCGUUGCAAGUUGCAAUGUAGCAGCUGGCCUUCCGUACGCACCAAAUAAAAUGUUUAUUUUUAGCACGUCGAAACAUCGCCUUACAACAUUGAAAAUUUUAAGUUCACCAACGUUGCAUUUUCUUGGCCGAUUCGAGCUCCACGGCGGCGAAUCCGGUUCGUCAGAAACCCCAUCGGAGCCUGAUCAGACCCAUUUUCCCUCAAUCUACGGCUCAAUGGUGAGAACUUGAGCCCCACGAGAUGAAGUCAUCCCAAGGGCUCCAUGGAGGAGGAGAAAGAAUAGGAAGGGGACGCCAUUCCCUCCUUGCUCUUUCAUUUCCCCGCCUCGCGGGGGAACACGAGCUAUUGUCAUGAUUGUUUGCCUUAAGCUGUCGCGGCCGGCGACCGGGUCAAGCGAAACCCCACACAUUCUCAAUCAUCUCAUUGCCACCGUUUACAGGAGGUCUAGCUGACGAGCACGAAGCUGCUAGCUCUCGGAGUAGGUGACAGCGCGACAAGCUCCCUCGCCCUGGAUACAUGAGGCACGUCGAAAGCUGGACAACGUACGGCACAACGCGGCUUCACCUGGCCGGCGACCGCUAGAUUUUGAUUUGAGCUGGGCACGGAACCGGAUGAAAUACAUGGUGCUGUGACUUUGAGCUUGCGAAUUGCGAUCAUGGGCCUGUGGCUGGUGGUCUAGCUGACUGAGGGCCUAGAGCCACCAGCCACGGUGCAAGAGCUUCAAAGAUCCAGAAAAGAUGAAAGAUGAAAUGGCAUCCAUUAUCAUUUUUGUUUUCUCCUCCUUAAAACUGUACUUGCCUUAUCUCAAUUGAGAUGCGCACCAAAGGUUUCAUGUGAAUCGGAAAUAAACCUAUCUAAAAGUUUAUACAAUGUGGUUUGCUCCCCUUCCCUAUGAGCAUUUGGGCCCUGAACAUAAAUGGCAAUGAUAAGAGCAUAGAAAUCACAUUAUGCCCUACAAAACUGAAUAUUGACAAUAGAAUGAGACGCAAACAAGAAGCGGACAGAGUGUUGGUUGAUGAUAUUUCUUCUGACCCCUCUGUUGCUUCAUGGUGACUGCGGUUGCACGAUAAGUCAGACGCGCUAGGCUGUGCUCGGUGAGCACCCAGCACAAAAUCCUAGCUUAUGCGACCGCCACCCAAAAGAUAUCCUUGUGGACCAAGGAUACGGCGGCGCCAACACAGACCAAGAGGGGGCAGAGAUGAAAGGCAAUCUUACCAUGUGCACUCUUUGAAGCUAAAGUUCAUCGGGGUAUAAUCAAAUCGAUUAAAUAAGGAGUAAAUUUUACAAAGCAAUCAGGUAUAACAGUACUCAUGAGAAAUGACUCAGGAGCAGGAGCAGGUUUAUGCUUUUGACGUUCCUCCAUGUUCCUUCUCAACAUGCUCAACGAGCAAGACUGGAUCUCGAAAUCCCUUGCUACACUUGGGGCAAGCAUCGAUGGUCACUUUACCACGACUCGACUGUGAGUUGUUCCCAUGGGAUUUCUCAGCGUGCUCAAUUAGGGCCCCCACAGUGGAAAAUUUUGCUGGACACUGAACACAUUGCUCCACGAGGCCACUGCUACUAGCACUGUUCGGGGUGAUCCCAUCCUUAGCCAUCUGGACGGCUUCACUGGUGGCAAUGCUCAAUUUUUGCAUUCCAGCUUCUGCCGAUGAUCUCAAACUUGAUGCUGCAUUCAAAAGGCUGGAGCUCCACCAGGACGAACUACCGCUACUGCUACUGCUGCUCGUGCGUGGCUGGACUUUCUGACUUCUCCUUAGCAUGUUGGAAAAGGGGAAGGUAGGCUCCAGUUUUCUUGGACCCGGACACUUGUGAUCAGGACCAAAUCUGUGCUUGAGGCAGUGUUCAUUGCUGCAAUCUUUGCACCUGAUUGUGUUUGAAAAUGUCAGUGCUUCUCUGCACCCAGGAACUGGGCAUUUCUUUUUCUUUGUUGCUUUCUGGUAAUUUGAUGGAUCACAGUCGGUAUUAACAUGAGAGUCCCAGGUGAUGUUUGCAUCUUCAUUUGGAUUCAGGCGAACUCCUUUAGCACAGAGUGGGCAGAUGAGGACAGUUACAUCCUUUUUAUUUGCAUUCAGACAUUUAUGUGAUGUAUAACUUCGGUGCUGAAGGCAAAAGACCUGAACGGCAUACAAUGGCUAACAGCAUUUAGUGAUGACAAGUUGACAACAAUAAAAAGAAUUAUGACUUGUGAGAAUCAAGGUACCCAUGAAUUUCAAAACGCAAACAAUUUCAGAAGACAAAAGCUGAAUUCCCAGAAUAAUAAAUACUAAAUAUUCUGUGAAAGCAUGCCAAUAGAACUACGUCAGCAAAAAGGUUCACUCUUACUAUACAUGACAACCAUCCUCGGUGCAAAUGUGCAAGGGGGAAUGAAUUGUCUAUCUGUUAUUUUUAGCGAGUGCUGUGACAAGGAUAUGGUAUUUGAAAUUCCACUUGUUGCACGCUUCAAAGCAAGUUAGACGAAUGUGAAGGUAAGUAUUGCCCGGUAAUAACUGCAUGUUAUGAUGAGAAUCAAGGGGGUCAAUCACUGUACAUGGGAUUUUUUUUAAUCUGAUACUCCUUUGAUGUUAAAAAAAUGACUAACCAAUAUGAUUUGCAGAAAGUUCCUUUUACUCUGCUGCAUGACAAUGGGCAGUUGGGAACAGAUUCACAGAAGGUUUCUCAUUCAAGUAUUAGAAAAUGUGUAUGAAUAAACCAAUCACAGUGGUCUUAAAGAUAAUGAUUCAAGCAACCAAACUAUUUUGACCAUCUAAAAUUUGGAGUUUAUGAUUCUACAUUCAUCAACUGAAGAAGAAAAAGAGAAGUCAUACAGAGCAUGUGACCAAUUGAAGUAACACCACGCGAAGACACAGGAGUUCUAUUUCACGGGAAAAGGACAAAAGCACUAUAUUUCAAGAUGGCAAACGUUAGAUACUCUACCCUGUGGGACAGGCGAAAGAAAGGUUCUUCUUCAUUCAUGCUGCCCAGCCCAGGCAGCAAGAUGAAUGGCCCUUUCUCCUUAGGGCAGUCCCCAGAUCACUAUCCUGGAACCGCGUCCCCCUAGAAUACUACUCCCAGGUCUAUUUCAGGAAACCGCAUCCACAGAAAAGGGCCAAUUCUCGGGUUCCAUGAUUCACAGAACAAUCCAUAGCUUGCGCAAGCUCUAGACGCAAAGGGAAACGAACAGGGGAGGCGGAAAACAUACGUGGUCGCACCGGUCGCAGGUGAAGGGGAGGAAAUCGAUCUGGUUGCAGUCGCCGACGCUGCAGUGCUUCCCCAGGUCGGGGAACUCCGGCGUGCCCAUCGCCCGCCCGUGGGGGGGCCUAGCGCUUGUGCGCGGGGUCGGGGAGGGGAAUCCUGGUCAACUCGCCGUGCGCGGUGCGCCACCGCGACUCCGUCGGCUGCUUCGUGCGUCGGUUGUUGGCUUGGCACCGGAAGGCAAGGCAGGAAGGGGAGGGGUCUCUGAUUCUGAUUUGUAAACGGUUUGACGGUGUGCUUUUUCGGCGAGGACCUCGGAACUCGUCGGUAUUUCAUUCCGAGGUACUCGUUAGGAUUUGGUACAACGAACCUCCGUUUUUGUCUUCCGAGUUGGCAUGUUCCGUCAGCCGAUGCGUGAAAGACACGGAGCUGGGGAAAUGCCGGGAAACCCUCUUUUUCCGUGGGCCGCCAGACCACCGAGUUGGGUAGUACUCGUUACUUUUCAUAAUUUUUGUCUCGAAUUUGUUAAAAAAUAAAUGUAUCUGUUUCUAAAAAAUGUCUAGAUACAUGUAAUAUUUCGACAAGAAUUAUUAAACGGAGAGAAUACAACAAAAGAUCAAGAACAAAACUGUGACUGGGCUGUUUUAUAAUUUUUAUUAUUUGGACUUUUAUUUUUAUUUUUCAUGAUAGCAACAGAGCUGCUGCGAUCCAUUGAUCUGAAGAACUGUCAGGAGACACCAGGUGACACGAAACGGCAGCAAGGGCAAGUCUGACUAUGUCGGACAAAACACAGUAAAAUUAAGUGCAAACCUUCCGGUGCCAAUAUCAUCGUCGUCAUCACAAAAGCGUUCAGGAUCCAACAACUUGUAUUUCGUUGCAACAAUGUCGCCAAGGUGCACCCCCACCCGCCACAUCGUAACCAAGCCUAUAUAGACAGGUCGGUCGACUCCAUCGGCACCUAGAGUAUAUCUAAAAGGAGGCCAACUUAUGCCUCUGGGAUUUGAGAGAACGAUCAACAUGACCGUGAUACAACGGCUUCAUGGGAGGAGCUCGUAUCCGUGCCGCAUUCUCCAACUCCUCCCAUGAGAAGUUAGGAACUCUGUACUCCAUGGGCUUGUGUGAUGAGUGUUGUUGCCUGCCUUUACGCAAGGCUAUUUGCGGUGUAUUUGUUUCUUUUAAUAUGAGAAGUUAGGAAUGCUUGUGUUUAUUAGUUAUUCUAAUGUUGAGAUGUGGAAUGACCGGAUUUUAUAAUUCGAUUUGUAGCCACCAAUUUGCCUCGUCUACAUAGCCCAAGGAGUACAAAGUUCAUCAAAAAAUUUAAAAAACUUCUACUCCCAAUUCACAUGUAUUUCUCCGAUCCAUAUUAAUUGUCGAAAUAUUACAUGUAUCUAGACGAUCUUUAGGCAUAGAUCAUCCAAAAUCAGGCAAAUUUGAGAUAAUUAAUAUGGAUCGGAGGGAGUAUUAAAAUUCUGAACACAGUGAAUAAACAGUCUAUGAAUAAAUAACCCAAUAAACCUCAAAGCAUAACGCUAGAGUAUACGAUGACUUAUUUUUCCUUCUAAUUCAUGCUAUUGACCUUGUAAUUUUUUAUAUUGCGGCCGUCCCAUAGAUGGAUGAAGCUUUUAUCGCUCUGGGUUUUCUUUGAAAGAUAUCGCUCUGAUUGGGUGUCACGUACGUUAUAUGUGGUCUCACGUGAGUUGAGAACACAAGAGUUAGCCGAGAGAGCAAAGAAACAACUCUAUUCAGUCUCACGCGAACUAGUAAAAUACCGUUCCAAGAUAAGUUGCUCCCUCCAUCUAACAAAAGAUGUCUUAAGUUUGUCAAAAAUUGGAUGUAUCUAGACAUGACUUAGUGUAUUGAUGCAUUCAAAUAUAAUUUAGUUUGGAUGUAUCUAGACAUUCAUAUUUGGGCAAAUUGAAAUCUAUUGGACGGAUGACCUGAAAAGAAAAAAAAUUUAAGGGCUGGGGCGCUACGCUAAAGAAUAGCAUCUGGUUGUGAGGCCAAAGAAAACGAGAAGGGCUAGAUAAUAGUAUCUGGUUGUGAGGCCAAAGAAAACGAGAAGGGCUAGAGAACUCAAAUUUAGUUUAUUUUGGAUGUAUCUAAACAUUCAUAUUUGGGCAAAUUAAAAUCUAUUGCACGGAGGACCUGAAAAGAAAAAAGUCCAAGGAUAGUAUCUGGGCGCUACGCUAGAGAAUAGUAUCUGGUUGUGAGGGCCUGGAAAAAAAUAUCAAGGGACCGGUGUGUGAAACCUCAAAAAAAUUUGGACCAUUUCUCGAUUUGUGCGUGUCAUCCUUGCGCAGGGGCCAUGCUAAUCUUCUCUGUAUCGUUCCAAUUUUAUCGGAUGUCCCCGAAGGGACAACUACGGUGCGGAGUGGUACGUUAUAAGGUGGUCGGAACAUUAUUAGCUGGGCGAGGUGGUACUAAUCGUGGAUGCGUCUGUUGUUGCCCCAAGAGCCAAGACCGAACCGAACUGCUCAACGAAGCGAGAGCCAGCGAGACUAAUGGGCUUCUAUAUGUUGCUUCAGCCCAAGUCAGCAGAGAGGCUGAUUGUGUUGGCUCAGAGCCUCAGACCAAGUCAGCAGAGAUGCUAAUUGGCUUCUUUCGUUUUCCCUUCCCCUUCACGUUUAAUUUGUUUCACGAUUCCGGUCUGGUGCUGGAUUAUUCGAGCGAAACAGAAAAAUUCAACGUCUCUGGUUGCUGACUUGGUAUUUCCAUUCGUCCAUUCCAGUAGUUUGUCACUAAGGAAGAGUAACAAAGAACAAAUUGUAGCAACAGUGUCGAGGACACGAGCGGGUCUUUUGUUUGGUACGUAGACGUUGGUGAGCGCGAGGACGACCUCCAUGCCCUGCCCCGGCCCUAACGAAGCCCUCGUGGGCUGUCAAAGCUGCCUCGAUCAAGGAAGGGACGGGUCGAUCAGAAAGAAGAAAGAGAGUAUACUGCAAGCUUGAAUCGAAAAUAUGAGAGUAAAUUGCACAAAACCACCGCAUGAUUUAUUUCAAAAACCACCGAUUUUACUAAUUUUCGUGCAAAACCACCACAAUUUCGUGAAGUUAUUGCACAUAGCACUGGUUCCGUCGUUUACGACGUAUAAACGCGUUUCUGACCGACCGGACCCACAUGUCAGGUUGACCAGGCCGAGACGGCGUUACGCCGUCCGUUAGCCAGGUCUGUACAAGCCUUUCUCCUCUCCCGCUGACUGCAGACCCCACCAUCAUCAUCCUCCUAUUCGUGUAUCCACCCGCCCUUGCUCCCUAUCAGCGCCGGCCGCCUCGCGCGGCGCUGCUGGUCCGCCGCCGCGCGCCUUCACUGCAUCCCCCCGCAUUGCUUGGUUCCGCGCUGCUGCAGCCCCCCGCCCUGCCCGCCGCCGCCCUAGCCUCCCCACGCGCCGCUGCUUGCGCGCCUGGCCAUGUGCGCCCCUCCGCGCUGCCGCCGCCCCUGCUGCCCGCAGCCGCGUGCGCGCGUUGGAGCUAGCUGUCCAUGCGGCUGCUCGCCGGAGACAAAGAAGAGAGAGGGAGUAAUCCAAGCGGCUCUCACGGACGGCGUUAACAUCAGUUCGGCCCAGUCAACCCGACAUGUGGGCCUGGUCGGUCAGAAACGCGCUUAUAUGCUGCAAUCGACAGAACUAGUGCGAUGUGCAACAACUUCACUAAAUUGCGGUGGUUCUGCACGAAAAUUAGCAAAACCGGUGGUUUUCGUAAUAAAUCACUGAAAUGUGGUGGUUCCAUGCAAUUUACUCAAAAUAUAACAAAACAUGCAUUCACAGAGUGCUCGCCCUUGCCUAUAGUCUAAUAGAGUUGCAGCUCGGUUAAGCUGCGUCGGUGUUGUAGUGUUGUCCGGUUAAGCCUUCAAUUUACUCGUUUCGUCCGCAGGACCGAACCCGUCGUGACCAAUGAUCGACGACCCGAGAUCGCAAGCUCAAAGUCGCCCGAACCCCGAAGGCGCAGCACCAGCUGGUUGGUUCCAUGCCCAACUCGAAUAAAAUCCAGCGGUCGCCGCCCGAACGGCCGAUCGAAGCCGCGUUGUCCGGUUACGUCGCCUAAACCGAGAGCGACCAACUUGGUCUCGGUCUCGCCUGGGUCGUCGCUCCUCGUCAGAUAGACCUCCGAGUCUCCGACCGACCAGACUCCGUUUGCAAACAGCGAGCAACCAACCAUGCAAGGUGAUUGAAUGCGUGUGGGGUUUGGCUUGACCCGGGGUCGUGGCCCGGCGCCCGCGGCAGCCUACGGCAAGCAACCAACCAGCCAUGCCAGCACGUGGUGGGCCGCCUCUUGAUGACUCGAAAGGUGAGCAGUGAGAUAUGUCCUCGCUUUACUACUCAAGUAAAAGUGUAAAACACCCUUGCAAACGUGCUGAUCGUGAUCGGUAGGCUGCAUGACAUGCCCGGUAGGGCGGUAGAAAACUAAGAAAAGUCUUUCCGACCUCAGACGCCAACUGUAAGCGCUUGGUAUUUGCAAUAAAUUGUUUGCGGAAUGCAACCAUCGAUCAGUACUUCUCAGAGAGUAGCGCUACCUACACCUGCACGCAUGCAUUAGUCUGCAUCUUCUUCCACAUCGCUGCCGCGCGCCAUUUGUGUUUCUGGCAGCGGCAAUGGGUGUCGUGAGCUCAACGGUCCCUGCAGCCUUACUCCUCACUUCCUUCUUGCUCAUCUCCAAGCUUCCUCGCUGCAGGCCACUGUCCUUCAGCUACAACUUCUCCGACUCUGCCACUUACGACCGUGCCGACAUCACGACCGAGGGAGCCGCGACGUACUCGCCGACCGUUGCAGCUGGGUACAGCGGCAAACGUAACCCUGCUGCCGCUGGCUCGCCGGCGCCCGGUGAUUCCUCCAGUGCCGGAGCUUCUUCUUCUUCUUUCACAACGGGAGGUGCGCGCUCGACCGCGACCAGUUCCUCCACGACGGUUGGACCAUCUAGCUGUUGUCCAGAGUCCUCUGUUGUAAGUAUGCAACAAACUGCUGGCAUGUAAAGAUCAUCGUGUUGGAUGUACUCCGUCCGAAGGAAAGUUUCGGCCUUGUGGGAAGGAGGCGGCUGGUCUUUAUACUAUUUUAAGGCACUGUAAAUUAAAAGCUUCUUCUCUAAAGAUUCCUCAGUGUGAUACUGUGAUGCGGACGUGAUGACACUCGUAGCAUUUUGUUUAUACAGAACCUGCGUAUCUCUUAAUUGAACUGACAAAACUGAACAGACCGAGAUAAAUCCAGGUUCAGUUCAGGUUUUUCGGUAGUUUGGUUCUUGGUUAAUAUGCCCACCCCUACCUGGCUCCUGGCAUCAUGGGUUGGGCUGCGAGAUCGUGCUGAAGAGGAUAAAUACAGCAGCAUCGUAACUCAGCGUUUCCGCGGGUAAAACGACGUGCGUACAGAGUACUGAUACAACGACAAACCUUCUCUGGGCGUGCAACGAGCCGUUUUCGCGGGUAAAACCCGCCACAGCUCCACACACAAAAAUCAGCCUAAUCCAAGUAUCCAACCACCGUGUACCCCCCACCAGGCCGGACCCCUCCGCGAGUCCUCGUCGAUCCACUGCCGUCACACGGACACGCCUGCACCACCCAUCCAAGACCCCCCUUCCCUUUCCGCGCGUCACCCCAACGUCGUCAGGCCACACGGCAAGCUUCCUAAAUCUCGCCAUCUUCUCCUCGGUCAGCGCGAUGGUGGUCGUCGUCGUCGCGCAGGCCGCAGCGGCCGUCACGCCGGUGGUGGCCGCGGCCGCGCCGUCCGUCUCGUCGCGGGGCGCGGCUGGGACCGGAGGCCGAGGGAUGGGGUGGCGCCGGCGGCGCAGGGGGAAGGGCGCCUGCCGCGGCCGCGGGCUCGUCGUCGUGGGCGCGUUCGGCGGGCAGUACGAUGACGGGUUCGGAGACGUGGAAUUGGUAUGUGCCGCUGCGCUUGAAUGAAUGAAUGCACGGUCACUCGAAUUGCUCGCAGACACGAUUAAGAUGCAUUGCGAAUAGUGUUGGUUUUUGUUGUUGUUGAAAGGAGUUCAAUUGAUGAAUGAAACCAUCCCGCAUUUCCUGCAUAUCCUCCAGAAAGUAGCUAGCAGGACGUCUGAACUUGAUUGAUAUUUCCGGUCUCAGCAUCUAGCUGUAUGAUGCACACUGUCAAAAUUGAACAAAUGAAGUUUUUUAGAAAAAGGCUAGAAAAGGCACGUCAGCACAUGACCAGAGAGGGAGAAGAGUGGGAGAAGAGUGGAUCUUGGAUGAUGGCCUUCGGUUUUGCUAAUCCUUGCCUGGAUCGUUUACACAAAUCUUGUCCAAUUUCUGCACACCAUUACUGUUAUCCCUGGUUUAUAGGUUAUACAGAGUACUAUACAUGUGGUAAGACAUAGACGAUAUGACGAUAGUUGAAUGUUGAUCUAGAAGCUUUAUGGACUCCAAUGGUGGACACUGCUCUCAAAACGCAUAAUUAGGAAAUACAUAAGAUAAUGUCAUAAUGUUGUCAUGACUUUCCAAAUUAUGUACACAACCAAAACACAUGAAUUUGCAGAGAUUGAUAUUUGUAUUGCUUCACAUGGAUUUUGAAUUUGAAAAGAGAGAAGAUGCAUUAAUUUCCCUCAAGUCUAACAUCUCGCUACCUAGAUCCAUUGUGUUGCGACUAAUAUGGCAAUAAUAAUCGUGGCAAGCGGUGUAGGACCUCCAUCGCAAUGAUCGCAACUUUCUUCUACGAGGCUCGUCACCAAGAUAAGAGUUGCCUUGUCCUCAAUGUUUGGCUGGCAUGGCAUGUUGUGGUUGUUGCGGUGGUUGAUGCGUUGGUGGUCGUUUAUGAUAGAGUCGAAGCCAUUGGUUUGUGCAAUGGAUGAUGAGCUUCUGUUUGGCCUCAGAGGACGUUCUUAGUGGUGUAUGUGUCCAGUUUUUGGACUCGUAGUUUUGGUGUUAGCCUGGUUUCUCUUUAAUUAACUGAGCAGCUCUCUUAAGCUUAACUAAUACAUCGAGACAAUUUACCUCCAGCUAAAAAAAACAGCUUGAGAACAAUCCACAAGAAUCGUGAUGAUCACGUUUCUCUGUUCCAAAAGGUUUUACAGGGGAAAAUGAUGUGGAUUGGAAUCCUGCAUAAUUUAUAUAAAAAUCAUACAAUCCAAAGGACCUUGAUAUCUAGAAAAAGAUCGUGCAACUUAAAACAGAGACAGGGACACAGGGGGCCACCCACACAACCAAUUUGUUUUUUCAAGGGAAAACUUUUAUUUGUGCUGUGUAGAAUACUCAAGAACAAUGACCAACAACAUUCUGGCACCACCCAUGUCCGCCUUUGCCAUGUUUCUUUUUUUGAACAGGAAAUCAUGAAUUACUUCACCUACAAGGCUACAAAGACGGUUCUCUAUCAGUUGUAUGAAAUGAACCCGCCAGCAUAUACUUGGCUUUAUAAGUAAGGUUAUUUUUCCAUGGCCUCUUUCAGACAAAUUACUAAGUUUAAUUACCUCUUCGAAAGUUAUAGUUUUGUCCUGUCAGUUACCUUGUCGUCAACGAUGCAAAAGAGGGAAUACAUUUUCUUCGAGCACUCACAAAGGUAUCCUCUUUUUCUUGUACAGAAUGUUCAAAAAUGGAGAGGAAAAAAAAUGGUGUGUUUCUGAUCAUUUCUAACUUGUUUCAUGUAUAUACACCAGGAAAGGCAAGACCUGGCAGAGAGGGUCAUGAUCACACGCCUUCACUUAUACGGCAGAUGGAUCAAGGUAAUGCAGAGGCAGAGAGCCAUUCCAUCCAAGUCUUGAGAGAAAUUGGCGCAGAUUACAGAAAUUUUUACUUACACCUAUGAUCGCUGCAUCUGAUCAGAAAUGUGACCAUACAAAAAUGUACGAGAGGAUUUCCAACGAGAACCUGGCACUCAUGCGCGAAAGGCUAAUGGAAACCGUAGUGUGGCCAACUGACGACACGAACAACAGCGGCAAACAAGAUUGAGGGGGACACGAUUGGAACUCUUGUCUGAGUUGAGCAUAAACUGCUUCACUCAACAAUGCACUUCGAUGAAUCCAUGUUGUUUUUUUUCGUUUUGACUGUUACUCGUUUGUGUAUAUAACCCUGCAUGAAUAGAACAGUUGGUGUACAUUCUCUCGUAGGGGUUUGUGAUUUUAGUGUCCCUCGAUCCUUUUCUGUCCACUGGACUCGAGAAAAAUAUCAGAAGCUCAGAACACGUCUGGUCAAUUUGUUUGCCUUGUUUGACAGUGUCUGUUCUUCUGUGCUUGUAUUUGUAAGAUUCAGGUUUUCUGACCCUUAUUUCAUCCUCUUUUUCUGUCUUGCAUGACCAACAAUAUUGAGAUGGAUUAGAUAAACGAAUUUCAUUUACUGAAGUCCGAGCGAUGCAUAGCUAAAGCUUACGUUUCUAAAUUUAAUGAGUAUGCCAAUUGGCAGUGACCCCCUACAACUCAAAAAAUAGUUAGCGAAGACUUCUCAUUACAACUUGAAAAUUGAGCCGACCCCUAAGCACAAGUAAAUUAUAUACAGAUAGUUCAAACCCUCACGGAGUUGUUACCACACAUCUAAUUUAUAUGAAGAAAAAUGUUUUAUGUCCUGAUCAGUAUGGUAAGGAUAGAUGUCAUCAUAUUAAAAAAGAACCUUCCUUUCUGGCGGAAUAUAUCUGAAACCAGUCCAAUAGUCCAUGGAGGCAUGGCACUGUUCCAUCUGUUGAAGAAAAACGUAAUCUUUUCUUGUCGGCAACUAGCACGACUACAUUUGGGCGGAUAUCCUGGAGUGCUUUAUCACGUUUCAUGUCGCUGUUUGUCUUGUACCUAAUCUCGUCCGUCAUUGGCGAUGCAAACCAAGCCUUGUCUUCCUUACUUAAAGCUCAAUUCAUUGUCCAGCGCCGUACCAUUAUUUUACAGCUUCAGAUACCUCCACCGCCACCAAUGUAAGCUCCAAAUCUGAGAUGCUUCUCCUAUGGCUUACAUCUGUCUUCUCAGCAGGCCGGCAGUAUAAAACCCAAAAUAACGGCAAGUGUAUGUGAGGCUAUCAAGGGCUAACCAAGCUGAUAACUUCGUUAUUUGCAACAACAUGCAUAUGUAACAACCUCUCAGGUCUCUGCAAAAGUUGUUUCUGGCUCUCCUUCCUUCCACCCUUCCUCUCCACUCUUUCUCUAGUCAUGAGAUCAAGAGUCACAGGAACUUACUUCUUGGCUCUCCAGUUCUUCCUAUCCUUCAAUUUCAACAUUGCCCGUGUCAGUCCUCUGUCCUUCAAGCUGAACUUCACUGAAUCAAACAACAACGCGUUGGCUGCAAUCCAGUUCCAGGACGAUGCCUUCUACAACAAGGCGAUCAGGCUCACCAAGGACGAGCUGAAUAAUGAUAUCACUUACAGCGUUGGCCGAGCAGUCUACACCGAUCCAGUGCCUCUCUGGGAUAGCGCCACCGGUCAGUUAGCCGACUUCACAACCCGCUUCACAUUCAUGAUAGCUGCCACAGAUAGAAGCAAUUCAACAGGUGAGGGCCUAGCAUUCUUCCUCUCACCGUACCCUUCUGUGAUACCCAAUAGUUCCACAGAUGGUUUUCUGGGCCUCUUCAGCAAUAGCAAUGGUCAGAAUGACCCAUCCAAUGAGCUUGUGGCUGUUGAGUUUGACAGCCACAAGAACACAUGGGAUCCAGAUGACAACCAUGUGGGAAUCGACAUCCAUUCAAUUGUAUCUGUAGCCAACCGGACAUGGAUCAGUAGCAUCAAUGAUGGUCGGAUAGCCAAUGCAUGGGUAACUUACCAGGCCAGCUCCAUGAACUUGAGCGUCUUCUUGACAUAUCUGGACAACCCACAACACAGUGGCAACUCCAGCCUAUCUUAUUCAGUUGAUCUCAGAAAAUAUCUCCCAGACAAAGUGGCCAUUGGCUUCUCGGCUGCCACUGGUAGAUCUGUUGAGUUACAUCAGAUACUUUACUGGGAAUUCGAUUCUACGGAUUUGCAGCUGAUGAAGACAGAGAAGACGAGAAGUAUACUGGCCAUAAGUUUGGGUACUAGCAUAAGUGUGGUGGUCUGUUCUAUGGGCUUGGUUUGGUACCUUCUGCAUUUUAGGUCUAGGAGGUCAAAAAAGGAGAGAGAAAAGAAGCUAGAUUAUAAUGUGUCAAUUGACUGUGAGUUUGAGAAAGGAAGGGGGCCGAGAAGAUUCCGGUACAAUGAACUAGUGGGUGCCACGAAGAACUUUGUUUUGGAGAGAAAACUUGGAGAAGGAGGAUUCGGUGCAGUCUACCAGGGCUUCUUGAAGGAUCAAAACCUUGACGUUGCCAUAAAGCGAGUUGCAAAAGGGUCAACACAGGGGAGGAAGGAGUACAUAUCUGAGGUCAAGAUCAUCAGCCAGCUGAGGCAUCGGAACCUUGUGCAGCUUGAGGGCUGGUGUCAUGAGCGCGGAGAGUUCUUGCUUGUGUACGAGUUCAUGCCAAACAGGAGCCUGGACACACACCUCUAUGACAACAGUAACCUGCUAACAUGGCCAUUGAGGUUCAAGGUCACCAUUGGUGUUGCAUCUGCCCUCCUGUACCUCCACGAGGAAUGGGAGCAAUGUGUCGUCCACCGGGAUGUCAAGCCAAGUAAUGUGAUGCUUGAUUCUGCAUUCAACGCUAAGCUUGGUGACUUUGGGCUCGCGCGACUUGUCGACCAUGACCGAGCCUCACAAACUACAGUGUUAGCUGGAACAAUGGGUUACAUGGCUCCAGAGUGUGUCACCACUGGCAAAGCAAGUAAAGAAUCCGAUGUCUACAGCUUCGGCAUUCUUGCAUUGGAGAUUGCAUGUGGAAGGAGGCCGGUUGUGCUAAAGGAAGAGGACAACAAGAUCAGAUUGGUUCAGUGGGUGUGGGAUCUGUAUGGAAGAAACGAGAUUCUUAAUGCAGUUGAUGGCAGGCUUGAUGGUGCAUUUGAAGAGAGAGAAGUUCUCUGCUUGAUGGUUGUUGGACUGUGGUGUGCACAUCCGGAUUACAAUCUCCGACCUUCGAUUCGCCAGGUCAUAAGUGUACUAAAGUUUGAAGCACCAUUGCCAAGCCUUCCAGCGAAGAUGCCUGUAGCAAUGUACUUUGCGCCACCAAUUUCUCUAUGCAGGUUUUCAUACACCUCAUCUGAUGGGACCCUGAAGGAGCAGGAGCUGGAAAGGUCCAACGGUUAUGGAAAGACAAACUCAUCCAGUGCAACCAAUGCUUCGAGUUCACCUCCCUCUGUUCGGUUGCCAGAGGCGGGUUACUAGGUCUGCCGGUUCCUUACUGCAUGCUCAACAUGUGUACUUUUGUUUGGUGCCAACGUAUUAGAGAGGCACUAAAGUUAAACUAGAAAUAUGUUGCUAUUGAUUCUAGCUGGAUGUUGAGAACAGUAUUGAUUCAAUUAUUUGUGUAUAGAUUGGAUACCUGCAGAACAUAAGCAAUGGAAUGUUUAUGCGUAUCCUAGGUGAAUUUAUGAUGUUCACCUAAAGUGGUGUUGACGGUUGUCUUGUUCUUUUAUAUGUGGAAAAGACAAGUUUGCUUUUGUAUAGGAAUCAAAUCAAUAUCAAUUCAGGCACUACAUUACCAAAGGCCUAUUCUCACAACAUAUGUACAAUAAGUACAACGAACAUAAACUACCCGAACCUAUUUUUCCUGCUUAUCUUUGGUCACUACAAGAUCUAGAUGUGCCCAAACCAAAUUGGCCUUAAACCUAGCUAUCCAAGUGAAGUGUCUAAUAAAAUAUACCAUGAUGCACAUAUAUUUAUACUCCUAUAUCAACAGGAGUAAGGAGGUAUGUGCAUAUAUUUGUACUCCCAUAAGGCCGUACCAAAAAAGGAACUGAGUUCUAAAUAGUAAACCAUUAAAAUGGCCAUAGAAGGUACAUAAUUCUGGUUCUUUGAAUCUAAGCACCAAACAACUGAACAAAAGAUGAAGAGAAAGAUCAAUCAAGGCGGAGCAAAAUAAGGUCUUGAAUGUCCUUCAUCAAUAAUGUGCAGAGAACACGUAUCAUUGUGAAUUUAUUCGAGGUCCAUCGUCUUAUAUGUGGUUCCGAAAAAACACUAGCAUUGAGCACCGAGAAAUUUGUCAUGCCAAAGCCCCAGACUACAAAUUUUAUAACAACACCUUGCUUGCGAAGCAUAUGUGUGAAAUUUUCAACUACCAUAUUGUCCAUGCAAUGUAUUAUUAUAGAUAAGCUUUUCAUGAAAUUCUAAACUAGUACUCCCUCCAUACCAUAGUAAGUGACUCAAAUUUGCUCAAAUAUGGAUGUAUAUAUGCCUAAAAAACAUCUAGAUACAUGUAAUAGAAAGUCACUUAAUAUGGGACGGAGGGAGUAGAACCUAACACUUCGAUCAUGCUUCACGAAGUCAACCAUAAACUGGAACAUCAGAACAUCACACCAAUCUAAAGUUGUGUACAACUAAUUUUCGUCCUCAAUUGCACAAUAUCACACUGUUGUGAACUCGAAAGUAACAUUUCCUCUUAAAUUUGACAUCAGUUGCACAAUGUUACAUUGUUCACAAGAAACAUUUCGUGAUUGGCUAAUUUCAGCAGUAGAAUCUAGUCUAGUACUUAACAAACAAUGACACAGCACGGUCAUAAGCAAGCAGACGGCCAUUACCUUUGGGCAGCUUAUUGUUCACCUCCUGCCAUGCUGCUUCUUCGCAGUGAACCGGUAAACCACCGGACCAUGGCGCCAGCCUUCGAGGGGUGGGUCCUCAUGCAACACCUCAAUGUUGAACAGCUUCCUCGCCUUCCCGAAGAACUUCUUAUCCGUGCGCUUCCACCUCCUCAGAUGCGCCAUCAAGAACACCACCUCCCCCUUCACGAAGAACCGCAGCGUCUCUAUCAAGGGGUCAACCAACGUCUCGUAGUAGACCACGUCCGAGGCCACGACGAGGUCAAACCGAGACGCCGGCGCUGGGGCUACCACGGCCUCCAUCGAAGCCGCAUCGCCCCAGGGGAGCGGGACGACGGAGACAGCGCCGCCGCGGGAGUCGAGGAGGGGCGCGUUGAGGGAGGCGUUGUGGUGGAGAUUGGGGAGCGCGGCGGGGAGGUCGGAGAGGACGGCGUGCGCUGGGAGGGCGGCGGCCAGGGCGAGGCCCGCGGCGCCGGUCCCGGAGCCGAGCUCUAGGAUGGCGAGCGGGCAGUGCGGGGCGGGGCAGCGCGGGAGGAGGUGCAGGGAGGCGGAGAGGAAACGGAGGAGCGUGGUGGCGGAGGGCCAGAGCUGGAAGGUGAGCCCGAGGGAAGGGAUGGUGCGGACGGUGAUGGGGGACGGGAGCGCGGGGAGGUGGAACUGGUGGAGCUCCGCCUCGGAUGAGGCGGCGGCGGCGGCCGUGGAAGUGGGGAGCAUGUUUGGGAGGAGGAGUUGGAGAUCGUCGGGCUCGGAAUCGGAGGAGAUGGCGGAUGUGGUGGACCGGAAUGCAUCGUCCGAGUCGGGAACAGGGGAGACGGUGAAGGGUAGAAACGUGGUGGCUGCGGCGGCGGCCACAACGGUGGCGGCGGUAGCGGUGGCGGCGGCGGCAACAGCGGUGGUGGUGGCGGCGGCGGCGGCCAUAACGGACGAGCGAUGUGAUUGGUGUUCUUUGAGGUUUUGACUAGUAGUACCAGGGUUAGACGGGUCUGGCCAAUUUGGGCCUAGCACGGCAUUUUGCAAGUUGCAACUUGCAAGUAGACAAGUGGUGAUUUCUUAACGGAUUUUGCUAUAACUUUGUCAGUGGCAAGCGGAUUUUUCCCUAGGGCAUAUUUAUUUCUUCUUCCUUUUUCUUGUCAUUGAUUCUCGUGGUGGAGUUGUUGGCAAAAUGUUUUUGUUUGCAGCAUUGUUGGCAAAAUGUUGACCCGACUCAUAAUUCUUGUCUCACAUUUGUUCAAAAAUAGAUGUAUAUGUUCUUAAAAAACAUUUAGAUACAUGUAAUAUUUCGACAAGAAUUAUGGGACGGAGGGAGUACUGUAAUGUGCAAAUCUUGGUUAUAAUGUAUUUUUGUGACUUGUAGCAUGGAACACAAAGUAAUACCUUAAAUUUAUCACUUGAAAUUCGACAGGAUCACAAAAUUUUUGCUGUAGAGCAACUUCUUAACUAUCUCGAACGACAUUAUAAAACUCGACGAAACAACCAUGAGGAGCGAAAGUUUCAUCACGGUGUUUUGACGAAAAAUAUUGCAUAAUUGCAGAGAUAUACGGUACACUUUGGUGAAGAAUUGCAAGGAUACAGCGUGCAUGACAAUUGAAAUACAUGCCAAAUGCGUGACAACUAUGGGGUUAAGAAGCCAGGAGCAUAUUGUGUGCAUGACCACUGACAUUCAUUUCAAAUCAUGACGUGCCAAAAAAAAUAUUGUUCUCCGACCCAUUUGAUUGUUUCCCGCAAAAUCCUGUAUCCAGGCAAAUGUCUAUUUUUGCUCGGGUAGUUCUGAUUUAAUUUUAAAAACAUUACUAGUUGCAAGAAAGGAGUAAAAAUUGCUCAGAUCAUUCCUGGCCGAUCGAUCCGAGCUCAAUAUGUCGUCUCGAAGAAGAGAUCCUGCUACAGUGCUACUUCGUCUCUAAACCAACGGUUGUAUAACAUCACAGAAAACCAUCGACCAAAUAGCACAGCAGCAAGCUUAUACUCUGAGGCGGAAUGCGAAUUUGUUUACUGAAGCACAAAGGGCAUUUCAAAUUCAGCAUCCCUCGAGUCCCCAACCAUUCGCGGCAUCUAAGGUUUGGGCUCAGCUGCCUCGGAGUCGGAGGGAGCGUGAGCAGCACCGUUCCGUGGCGCGUCGUCAUCAACACCCGUGGCACCGCCUCCGCUGCCGCGGCGAAGCGCCCAGGUCCGCGCGAGCAGGAACCCGAGGGCGUGGCCCGCGACGGCGGCGAGGAGGACGCCGACGUUGAAGGACAUCACGGCCAGCAUCACCAUGUACGCGAGCGCCAUCUUGGCCGCGUGGACCACGACCGCGGAGAUCAAAAACGUUGUCGCGCCAGUAGCGCCAGGCCGGCGCCGGGCGAGCCCCUUGGACGCCGCGGAGAGCGCCUCCACGAGGGCCGCAAGCGCGAGCACGACGAAGAGGCAGAGCACGUACAUGCCGCUGCCGGCGCGAGGGCCGGCCCCGGGCCAGCCGUUGAAGAGCACCUGCGCGCGGUGGCCCCAGAAGAAGGUCGCGUGCAUCGCCAUGCCCAUGUCCAUGUCCAUCCCUGGCAUGCCAGCCGCGGGCGGCUCCAUCGGCCACAUCGGAGGAGGAGGCGGCAUCGGCAUCGGCAUGGCCAUUUUGUUUUUCUGGUGAGUUGAGCAGAAACGCCGAAGCAAAGUGGUAUGACGAGGUAGAGAUUUCCGAAGUUAACUAUACUAAGCUAGUUCAGUGGACCGUGCAGUAGUUAUGACGAAUUCGUGCGGUGUGUCGUGGAAAGAGAAGAGCAGACCUAUGGAACGACGAUGGAAAGAAGGAAUAAAGGUGUAACCAGCAAGGAGAGAUACGCACAAGAACAAGAAAAAGACGAUAGCGAAAGGGGAAUUGUAUGAGCUUUGGAAUAGCAGUUGGAUGUCCUGCCGUGCCACAUUCUAGCUGUCUCCAACAGCAUGCGUUGAUCCCUCUCUUGUUGGCACCAAGUGUCCCAACCUUCAUGGACAUGCGAGGACUAUCAAAACUUGUGGUUCUUGUUUUCAUGGACGAAUUAUUUAAGAGUGAAUUCCAUUUUUUAUCACAAGUUUCACUUUUUUGACAGCUUUAAUCCCAUUUAGUGAGAUUUCUCUUUUUUGACCGCAUUUAGCAAAAGUUUUACCACUAAUGACCCCAUUUAAUGUUUUGGUCUGAAUCUCCUCCGUUGUGACAAUGUGAAGCGGAGGCCAUGAACUACUGAGGAGGAUCAUAUAUGAACCGUAUAAUGCUCGCUCGUCUCAAGUAAUUGGGCUAGUCCACCACAUUUUUCAAGUACGUGAACUAAACUGAUCGCACGUCUCAAGUCGCUGGACUGUUGAUGUUAUUAUCUCUUACACAAAGUCGAAUCGUUCAGCUGCAGGGAUCAGUGGGGAAGUUAAUUAGGCCAUGUUUGCUCCGUUUUGCUACAUGGGCUUGGGCUUAUGUGGUCAAUUUCCAGCAUAUGUAUACUUAGUGUUUUCUACUGUAACUUGCCAAAAUCCUGUGUAGUCAAACGAGGCUUCGCCAGUUUCAUUGGAUAAGGAAUCACAGGUCAGGCCGUGUUUCCAUGAAGUACAACAGGCAUUUCAAAUUCAGUAUCCCCAACCAUUUUCAGUGUCUUAAGGUAUGGGCUCAGACUCGUUGGUAGCGUGAGCAACAACGUUCUGUGGCGCUGCCGCGUCAUCAUCACGAGUGCCGCCAGCGCCGGCGCGGCGGAGCACUGCGGUCCGCGCGAGCAGGAACCCGAGGGCGUGCCCGGCGACCGCGGCGAGGAGGACGCCGACGUUGAAGGACAUUGCGGCCAGCAUCACCAUGUACGCGAGCGCCAUCUUGGCCGCGUGGACGACGACCCCCGAGACCAUCGCGCCACCGCCAGGCCGGCGGCGGGCGAGCCCCUUGGAUGCCGCAGAGAAGGCCUCCACGAGCGCGGCGAGCGCGAGCACGACGAGAAGGCAGAGCACGUACAUGCCGCUGCCGGCGCGAGGGCCUUCCCCGGGCCAGCCCGUGAAGAGCACCUGCGCGCGGUGGGCCCAGAAGAAGGUCGCGUGCAUCGCCGGCAUCGCCAUGCCCAUGCCCAUGCCCAUGUCCGUCCCUGGCAUGUGAGUUAUGUCGCCCGCGUGCGACGGCGGCGGCGGCGGCAUCGGCAUGGACAUCUUGUUUUUCUGGUGAGUUGAGCAGAAACGCCGAAGCAAAAGAGGUGUAACGAGGUAGAGACGACUUCCUAAGUUAAUUAAGUAGUACUACUAAGCUAGUUAGUGGACGUGCAGUGUGUCGUGGAAAGAGAGAGAAGAUCGAUGGAACGAUGGAAAGAAGCAGAAAGGUGUAAACAACCACGAAAGAUAAGAACAGGAACAAGGAAAAGGAAAAGAGAGUAAAUUACGUUGCGGGUCCAUGAACUUGGCAGCGAUAUUCAGUUUCAUCCAUUAACUUGAAAACUUCUCAAAUGACUUACUAAACUUGACGGCUUUGCUCAUUUUACUCCAAAUGACCAGAUUCGGGCGAAAUUCGGUCAUGAUGGCAUGUGACGUGGAUCCGGCCGUUCGAGUAGCGGCCGCCGAACCUAUCAAUGGAGCCAUUCGCGUGGACGCCACGUACGCCGGCCCGAAGUGGGUUCACCGGCGAGAGCAACAUCUCCCCAUUCUGGAGAUUCGAGGAGGUUAAACAGAAAAGGUCCAUAAUCAGAAAAUUGUGAAAAGCCCCCUCACACGCCGGCCAGGUCCACGACACAUGCCAGCAUGGCCGAAUUUCACCUGAUUUCGGCCAUUUGGACUAAAAUGAACAAACCUGUCAAGUUUACUGAGUUAUUUGAACAGUUUUCAAGUUAAUGGAUGAAACUGAACAUCGCUACCAAGUUUAUGAACCUGUAGUGUAAUUUUCUCAGGAAAAGACGAUAGGGAAAGGGGAAGCAUAUGUGAGAGCUUUGGAAUAACAGACGGACGAGGACAAAUGCACAAUGUCCUGCCGCGCCACAUUCUAGCUGUCUCCAACAGCAAGCGUUGCUCCCAACCUUCAUGGACCUGCGAGGACUAUCAAACUUCUUGUUCUUGUUGGGACGGGUAUUAUCUAAACUUGAUUACAUGCAGUAGAGUAUAUAUACUAAAUCUUCCGCCAAAAGGAAGAAUUAUGAUGGUAGCUUUGGAACACCGGAUUCUCGAAACGCUGAAAUAUGAAAAGGUACGAUUAGAACGACAAAGUUUUUAAAAUUCUAAUAUGAAAUCAAAACAUGGACAUAGAAGAAAACUUUCACAAUGUCUACCCUCUUGCUAUAAAUCCCGAUACAAUUGCUAGAACAAAUCGAAUGGAUCAAAAUCCUCCAAAAAAAUCAUGAGUGGCACAAACAAAGAUAUCCUUAAGAUGUUGUGAAAAUCCCUUUUAGCUUUUUUUUCUUGGAAAUCUAUAAGAGAUGCUACUUGCCUCUAUUCUUUUACAAAAAAAUUUAUAUUUAUCAUUUGAUUCAUUUGAGUGGAACAAAAAAUUAUAGGAACUUCUCUGCGUGCAGGCAUUAAAAUUGCAUCAAGAAAACAUUCAUGUUUUCUUAAAGAGUAAAUUACACAAAACCACCACAUUACGGGUUAGGGUUUCACAUUGAUACCGGUUUACGUUUUGAUUAUUAAAAACCACCGGAUUUACUUAAUCACUCGCUCGUUAGUGUCUAAACCCAUUUCUGACAAAGCAGGUCCACCGGUUAGUCCUAUGCGGCGUGCCAGCAUGGCAAAUGCCUUUCUUUCUGCUAUCUCCCAAAUCUCUCCCUCAUCCGCUGCUUCCUCUCCUUCUUCCCCCGAGAAGCUCCUCGCCACCAAACCGAUGCUCCGACCGCCCCCCCACGCGCUGCUGCUCGCCCCCGCGCGCUCUGCGCACCGCCGCUCUCUUCGCCACUCGCCCCCGCGCGCCCUGUGCACCGCCGCGCUCCCCAGCGUACCGCUGCUCCGGCCGCCGCUCCCUCAGCGCCGCUGCUCCAAGCCGCCCCACGCGCAUUGCCGCUCGCCCCCGCGCUCCCCCGCUCUCUCCCGUGCACCGCCGCGCGCUUCCGCUCCCCGUAGGCACGACGAAGCCGAUGGAGGCGCUCCGGGGCGCGCCUUGACGGGCGGAGAUGCACCAGCGUGCAAGCAGGCACGGCGAGGCCGAUCGAGGCGACUGCUAGGCAAGGGGGUGGCCGGAGGCGGCCCGCGACGAGGAGAUGAGGCAGCGGAGGAGGAGCACCGUGGCUGGGGCGCUUGGGAUGGCCGGGGGCGAGAGCAAGGGCACCGGCGGACGCGCGGGGUUGCUCAAGAUGCAGGGGGUGGGUGAGCAGAUCCAAGGUCAGCGGCGCUUUGCCGGAGACGAGGAAGACACGGGCGGUUCGGGGCACGAGGGGAACAUAGGGAGGAAGGAGAGAUGGAGUGUGGUUCAGUUGAGGAUUGCCACGGUGGCAAGCCACGCUGGCCUGACCGGUGGGCCCUUCCUGUCAGUUUCGCGCUUAUUCGUUAGCAACCGCACGACUAGUCUAAUCCAGUGGUUUUUAGUAAAUAAAACGUAGACUGGUAUCGAAGUGAAACCCUAUCCCCUAAUGUGGUGGUUUUCUGUAAUUUACUCUCUUUUUUAAACCAGGAAAUCUAUUUUCCAGACGGCUGGCAAAUUCCCUUAUGCGUGGACGCGUUCCGCGACGUCCGAUCUGCAGCGAACAGACGUCUUCUUCUCCGUUCCUUUUAUUCUUUCUGAUACAUACGAACGCUCGGAGGGUGCUCGUAACUGUUUCUUCCUCUCUCUCCUCUCCAGUCCCUACCUUGCACUCUGCGAUGAUGGGCUGGAUGCGGCAGUGGCUCCUCAUGUGGCGCUCGCCCUCGCUCAGCCACUGCACUAGUCGCGGUUAGGACGGGAAGAAGAGGUCGAAGAGGCAGAAGCCGCCCACCGGCAUGAGGGCCUCGUCCAACUCGCGGAGGUACUCCUCUUGCCGCGCGAACUUGCCCCAGAACUAGCUAGCUGCUGUUGUGCUUGCCGUGUGUUGCCGCUGCUGCUGUGCGCCUGUGUUGCUCGCUAGCUGUUGCUUGCUUGUUGUGUGCUGACGGCUGCUGCUGCUAGGACAAAUGCUCUAUGGUGAGCCUAAAUUCGUUUUGGCGGAGUGCUACUAGAGGAAGCUGAAGAGGGAUUCAAAAGAUGUUCUAAGCACUUGAGGUGUUUGAUGAAAUGGUGGCUCAGAUUUAUUCUUUUAGUUGCACUGAGUGGUUAAUCCAUUGCAUCUCCUCUUCAUUGUCUUACUCAUCAACCAUGCACAUCUAGUGCGUAUUGUUGAAUUCAAUGAGGUGUGUGUUGUUUCAUGCAUUGACUACUCUAUUUUGAGAAUGAAUAGUUAUAGUUACCGCCAUGACACUGAUGUAGUUACCUUGCAGUUUAGGUUAUAGUUAUUACCAUGUCACUGAUGUAGUUAUCAAGGUGCCCAAGUCAUAGUGACCACCACUAUGGCAUUAAUGGAAUUACACACCUGUUCGGGCUAUAGUUACCAACUGUCAUCCUAGUACCGUAGUAGUACCGAGACAUUUACUCAACUUCCAUGUUAAAGUUAUCACCAUGGGACCAGUUUAUUUGCCGGCCCAUCCCUAUUAAAGUUACUCGAUGGGUUGUCAAUAUUUGAGUUCACCAUGGCACCGAUGUAGCCACCAGGCUGUUAAUGUUAAAAUUGGAGUAAAUAUCACAGAACCCAUGGUUUCGGACGAACCGUAUCAUAGAACUCCACCUUUUGGUUUUCUUAUCACUUAAACCCGAUAAUGGGGCAAAAGGUGGAGUAAACCAAUUAUCACUUAAACCGAUAAUUGGGCUCCAGCGAUACACUUUUGCCCAAUUAUCGAGUUUAAGUGAUAAGAAAACCAAAAGGUGGAGUUCUGUGAUACGGUUCGUCCGAAACCAUGGGUUCUGUGAUAUUUACUCUUAAAAUCAUCAUCAUGGCACCAACGUAGUUAUCCUGUUGUUCAUGUUAAAGUUAUCACCAUGGUACCGUUGUAGUUAUCCAGCCAGUCAUGUUAAAGAGUUAUCAUCAUGGCACCGAUGUAAUUAUCUAGGUGGUCAUGUUAAAGUUAUCAUGGCACCAACGUAGUUAUCCGGAUGUUCAUGUUAAAGUUAUCAUCGUGUCACCGAUGUAGUUUUCCAGGUGUUCAUGUUAUAAUUAUCAUCAUGACGCCAAUGUAGUUACCUAGAUCUUCGUAUUAAAGUUAUCAUCAUGGCACCGACCUAUUUACCCGGUUGUGUAAGUCACUGUUCACCGUCACAAUAUGGAUAUAGUUACCCUGCUGUCCGAGAUAAGAUCUAGUUUGGAAGACGAUGUAGUUCCCCGACAUAGUAUUGUUGAAGUUUAUAUUACUUGUGAAUACUCUAACCAGGUAACUCACAUCUUACCGCUUGGUAACCUUUUUAAUCUCAUAAAAGGAGUUCCCGGUAUAUAUCUAAGUGAGUGGUAGGUUUGUAGUUGGUAACUAUUUUUUGAAUAAUACGGUGACUCAUAUAUGAGUGGUCUGAUAACCUACAAGCUUAGGUAAACGUCAUCGAAACAUAACCAACUGAGGUCUAUUAAAGUCUAGUUUUCAAUUGAUAACUACUUGUGGAUGUAUGAUAACGCGUACUGUUACUAGCCGGUGACUUCUAAAUUUGAAAAAGAUCACGAACACUUCCAAAGUGAGAUUAGUGUCCGAGCCGAUAACUCUACUGUGAAUAGUCAGGUAACUUACAUAGCAUUGGUUGAGUAACUACUUUUAAACUCAGAAAAAGUAACCAAAACAUGUCUAGCUAGAAGCAGCUUCAAAACAAUUGAGAAUGGCCUGAUAAUUCACAUAGUAUAUCUAGCAUUGAACCAAUCGUGAACAGGCUGAUAACUCAGUUAUUGCUAGUUGGUAACUUUGGUGCUCUAAAAACAACAUUAAAACACACCAAUGUAGCUAGAUUGAAAGCUGUUACUAAUCAUGAAUAGGUCUGGUAACUCACAUGGCUAUGGUUGGUAACUUUGAGCUUAACCAAAAAUUCGCCGAAAUACAUCCAACCCGCAUCUUGUUUUGAAGCCCUAGUUGAGACGAAAUCAUCUGUGAAAACGGAUUAUUGAUCAGGUACACGAUUUGAGCUACAUGACUUUUUAAAUUUUCUAGAACAUUUUAAAUACACACGCCCCACUCUCAGUUCUAUUUGCAUGCACGUGGUGGAAAAAAAAGUAGGAUGUGCGGCUCGGGCUCGUAGAACGGACCGAAGGGAGGGUAGCGGGAAAUAGACCAUGGUUACAAUAACUGGCAUACGGCUGGCACAUGGUCGGUGGUCCUUUUUAAAUUGAGAAAAAAAUAUUGUGUGUUUUUACGCAACCAAACAACUGCAAACAAAAAACUGUGUUCUUAAAAUUGAGAGCUCGUUCCGCAGCCCAUCACGCACGGCGCCCGGUACAUUCUAGUUUCUAGGUCCAGCGUUUCCUCCAGUAGGAUCGCGCGGCCCAUAGAGUCGGUCCAUCCGUACGGCCUUUCCGUGGCCCAGCGGAAGUGGGACAGCGGCCUCAAAGAGAUCAAAAAAAAGUUGUAUUUUGUCCUUUUUAUUAUGCACGUACGCUGCUUGCUUGCCUGAUGAGUGAUGACGCGAAUGGAACAACUUCUCUGAACAAAUAUCAAUUUUAGAACACAAAUACAAUUAUGCAAAUACCGAAAAAAGUAAACGACUAAUUGAUUCAUUGUGGACUGACGGACUCGAUCGGCUUCAGGUUUCCAAAACCAUCUUAUGAUCCCUGUCUAAUCGGCCCGGGGCCCCGGGCGGAUCCAUCCCAUCCAGAUGGCCGGUUAGCUAUUCUUAAAAAAGAAAAGAAAAAGAAAGAUGGCCGGUUAGCUUCGCUGAUUUCCCUUUGAAAAUGUCUAUCCAACUUUCAGUAAACACCUUCGACCUGAAUGCCCCCAUGUACGUACGUGGCACCCCAAAAGCGCGACAGCUCCAGAGCUCCUUCCUUGGAUUAAACCCCAAAACUAACCGGACUUUCGCCUACGUCACGGGUCGAUCGACUGAAUCAUCUUGUCCCGGCACACGAACUCUCAAGUAACAUCAACCAGUAGAGACAAGGAACCGAGGAUAUUGCAAAGAUACUCGCUCGAUCUCUGCCAGUUAACCUACUGUGAGAUAACCGUGAACGCGUCGUCCUCUGCCCCCACCGAUUCCAUUUCUAAACGGCCCGACUUAGACGUCCGAACGUCGUUGUAGUCGUGUUUUUUCACAGCCCACAGGGACUACUGACGUAACAUAGGUUACCAUCCGUCCAUCAGUCUUAUCCCCCCAAACGCGCGUUGUUGCGAGCGUCGUCUCUCUACGUCCGGGACGACCGACGACGGGCACGGCAUAACUAACAGAUGCACCGGCCCGGGAGCAAACAAACAAACCACCGGUUGGGGACCGACCGACCAAGGGAGAGAUCGAGUUCACGUCAAAGUUACACAGUAACGUACAACUCUGCUAAAAAAAGGCCAAAUUAAAGCCAUGUCCCGUCUGGCCUGGAUGGUUCCAAGGAGGUGCAUGAACCCGGAGAAUGAAAUUGAAGCUUCGUGCCGAGCGCGCGUUAAGCGCCGUUGCGUUCUGAGCUUAUACUAUGCCGUACGUCCGGGGGCGGGGCAUGCAGUGCGCGCGGCCGAUGGGCAGCCGCUUUCGCGGUUGCUUUCUUCCCUGCCCCGGCCGGCCGUUUCUGCAUGCGCUCGAUCGCUUUCGAUUCUUCCGGCGAUCCGUUCUUCGCUUCUCUUUAUGCUCCCGAUGCGGCUCGAUCGUGUCGGGUACAUACACAUGUGUGUGUUUGUUUAUGAGGGCGUUGAGGUACAUGCAUAUGUAGGGAGGGGCCCUAGCGAGAUAAUCAUCAUAUCGUGUAGUAGGGAAAGUUGGUCCUUGCAUUGUACAAUGAUGGUUCUAUCGGCCCCGACGGAUGGCGGAUCUUUAGUUUGGGUACGUACGUUGGUGCUUUUGAAUUGGUCGUUGGGCAUUGUUUCGUCUGCUCGGUCCCUCCCCGUGUUUGCAGUUGUACGUAGAGACUAGCAGGAUGGUGGAUGGAGAUUGAUCGAAGGCGUUUGCCGACAGCCUUGGGCUCCCCGGUCUCUUACACGACGUGGGCCGGGAUGUUCGUUUCUAUACACAUAUUAAUGCCAUCGACGGAUUAAUGGUACGAAGUGUGUAUGUCUACUUGGCUGCUGCUAGUAUUAGUUAACACCGGCCGAAGAAUUGUUAUAUGGUGUGCACUGUGACAUUGUAAAGGGAUCGAUUCGUCAUAAGUUGCACAAUGGUUUGCAUACUACUACUCGGUGGUGUUUUAUUUUAUCAGGGUAAAGAUUCCGCACAUGUCCAAUAGACCAAUAGGGCACUUGGAAAUGACGAGAGGGCUCACAUCACGGCGCGUACAAGCUAGUGUCGGCGUCGCUAUCAGCAUCCAAAUACUCACUCCACUUAUAGCUAACGCACCGCUAGAUAACACGUACGUGUCAGUAUUCUUGCGCCCCACUGACGCACAAACGCUAGAUAACACAGAGUAAUUUAACCAGUAGACGUCGGGGUCCAUCGGUCGCGAAAAAGCUCAUGCGACCCAACCACAACCAGAAGCCAGAGCGACCCAUGCAUGGACUGAUGGACUCAACCCAGUCCGCCCCGGCUGGCCAUAUGUACGUUCGGUGAAUGCUCAAUUUUAGACGAUGCUACAUGAUUACCAUCGCACAGUUCAUAUAUAUUGUACGUGAGGACACACCACACAGCAAGAACACAUGGGAUUACGGAUUUAUGCACCUAAAUUAUCGGUGGCUCCACGGUACAGUCCACUGACCACCCUCCUAUCAAAUUAAAAUUUGAAAAGGUAAGGCGAACAAAAGAAUGUCAUAAAACGCAAACAAAUCCAAGGAGGAUCAGUGUUCAUUAAUCGAUCACAACCGUACGGGGCAGCCAACCGCACCACGGCAGGUGGCAGGUAGCGAAAGUGAUCGGCGCAUCAAAUUAAACCCUACUCUUUUUUCCUAUCGCCGUUCCUGUGUCUUGCCCUAACAAGAACAUUAAACAAAAAAGAAAGAAUUACUUAUUAAGCAACGCUUUACCAGAAAGGAAUAUCAUCAAGGAUGAUCGGCGAAGAUUUUCUCAUGCGGUUGGUACGUGGAGACUUGGGAGCAGUCAUGAGAUUGUGCAGCAGCUAGCAAGUGUGGCCCGCCGUCACGUCGCGCCUUAAAAAUGGCAAACGAAUACGACCGGCGCGGGCUAGCGGCACAGGCAGCGACGCUGCGUGCGUGCGCGCCUCAGCCAGCUACGGCACCGGCAACAUGCAGUUUAUUUUCUGCACCGGGCUGCGGGGCGCCGUCGGAUCCCGCGGGUCAGGGCCGCUGUCGGUAAACGGGCGAGAAGCAGCCCACGUGUUUGGGCCCGGCCCGGCCGACAACCGCGUCUGACCAGUGUGUGUGCCUCCUGCCAAUGCAUGGCUCCCCAUGACGUGGUGGGGCUCCUGGCUUUUUUGGCGGCACUGGAGGACUGGGCCAUGGGGUAUCAAGUUAAGGUUGACCUUUACCUCACCCUUCGCCUGGAUCCUCUGCGCACCUGCCUUUGGUUUCACACACUGCUGACCCAGCUAGUACAAGUCUACAACCCGAAAAACGGGCAAAGAUUCCAAUGCUCGGAGAGUAUUGUCUCGACCUGGCUGUUUACUGAAGAUCCUGCGAUAUUUUCGCUUUGUUUGUUUCCUCUGACGAAUCCAACGCUGGGGCCUGUGCAGUUCAAUCCGGCCGGGCAGUGAAGUGAGGUUGGAUUUCACAUGUGGCGUUCUACGGGGGAUCUCCUUUGCCCCGUCCUCUCGUGAUCCUUCUCAAUCUCCUCUCGUGACGUUGAGAGGAGACGUUCCUUCCUUGCCGGUGAAGGUUCCUGAUUCUUCUGUAAAAUACUAGGACUGGGUCAGGUUUUAGUUGUACUACGUGCUGUGCUUCGACCACGUCAAAGAUAAAGCGGUUCCCAAACAUUCCCAACAGGCUGUAGACAUAGUGAGGUGAAAUCGCUUGCUUGUUUGACUGGUACGUGCAUAUAUAUCAUGGCGGGGUCGUUUAAUUGCCGUGCGUGCUCGAAGCAUGCACCAUGUUGUGUUGCGUACCAGAGAGUCUGGCCCAGGAGAUGAUGAUUUCCCGCGUCCAACGCACGAUUCUACAGCCACAAGAUGCUGCGUGCAAGCUGUAUUUACUUAUUUUGAAAAAGGACUUACACCUUUAGUAAGAAAAUGCUAAAUUAGCUUUACUUUUGCAAAAAUAAAUUGGAGAUUUUUUGGUAAAGUACACCAUCAGAUGUGGUCAGAUAUACUCGCGCCGUCCCAUAUUAAGUGACUCAAAUUUGUCUAAAUAUGGACAUAUCUAUAUAUAUAUAUAUACUAAAAUACGUUUAGAUACAUGUAAUAGCAUUUAAUAUGGAUUUCCUAGGGAUCAGUCGCCUGAGAAACUUGUUUUCUCAGUCGACAGCGGAAAACAAAACAGUUAAGUAGGCAGAUAACCGAAACAAAAUCAGCAAAAGGCAAUUGGUCUGUUGGUGUAUCGAUGUUUGCUUUGUUGCAGACGUCCCAGGUUUGACUCAAGUCCUUCCCGGUUUCCUUUUAUUUUUUAUUUUUGGUUUCUAAUUUAUAAAUCGUUUCAUUUUUCUUUUACUUUUUUAUUCUCUUACCUUUUAUGUUUUUAACUUUAUAUAUGUGCACUAACAUAAAUUAGCAGUAUACGAUAAUUUGUACAUUUUUUUAUCUCAAUUUUCUUUUGGACGAGUUGCGUAUUCCGAAAAUUUCACUCGCAAUUUUAAAUAUUUCACCUGAAAUUUUAGAAUCGUGCAUAACUUUCACCUGCAAUUUUAGAAUCGUGCAUAAAGUUUCACCUGCAAUUUGAGAAUCACGCAACUUUCACCUGCAAUUUUUAGAAUCGUGCAUAAAGUUUAACCUGCAAUUUUAAAAUCGGGCAUAAAAUUUUACCUGCAAAUUUUAAAAUUUGAUUGUUAAUUUUUUUGUUGCAUUUUUUCCUUUGUCUGUGAAGUUUGGCUGUACUGUGAAAGUGUAAUUUUGUCAGGAUCGAUCAUUUACGCGUAGAUGGACUUCAAGCCAGUACCAACGGAGUGGCCAAAAAAUAGAACUGGAGAACACUCGGUCGCACAUGCAUUUAGCUGUCCAAACUCCAAGCAGCAGCUAGUAAUGUGAAAUUAUUUCUAGGUGCCAAUUAACGCAAGUAGACAUGCUCUCUCACACACACACACAGGACAGGUAUGCUGGCCGGUCGACUGAGAAAUACGAUUUCUCAGCCGACUGAGCCGUAGACACUCCCCACUUAAUAUGGGACGGAGGAGUACUAGUUUGCAAUUGAAUAAAUCAAACCAUCUCAUACUUAAGCAAAGCAAAGCAAUCUAGCUACUACAAGUAUCUGGUUAACGCACAGUUAUGUUCAUGUGUUUGUGUUUUUUGCGUAUAGCGCACAGUUAAGGUCAUGUGUAAAGACUGAUCGAAUUUGCAAAGAUGGAAUUAAGCUUGUGAGGUUGGGAUUGUCUGUAAUUCUGUACGUAACUCGUAACCUUUCAUCAAUAAUAAAUGUCCGCGAUUUAAUACCAUUUGUAAUAUUUACUAAACUCCCGACACUUAUUAUGGAUCGAAUGAAAUACAUGUAAUAACAUUUUAAGUAUCAGUGACGUACUACUGCUGAGAUUUCUUGUAAACACGACGCAUGGGAAGCUACGUCAACAAAAUUUGCAUCAGGGGAUCUUGUCAGUGUCUCCCUCGUUAACUGCUGGAGACACUGUCACAUGGCGCGCCAUGCUCGUCGUCAGAAAACACCGGACCCCGUAGGCGCGGCACAAACCAAACACGCACUACAAAACCACAGCACCCCAUACCUUAUCGGUCCCCUCAACGGGACAACGCCCAAUAACGCCUCACCUGACGGGUUUGUUCGGUUAUUCUGACGAAGCGAGCUGCGAGCGAGGUGACGCCGAUCAGCCGCUGCUGGAACAUUCUUCUCCGAGCAAAAUUAUUUUUUUCCCGUCCCUCGAACGAACUUACCAUGUCCUCGCCAAAAACGUAUCUGGGCCGGGUUACGCCAACAUCCGCGCAAGCCCACCAAGUGGUUGCAGGAAAAGGCUGGGCCCACUUUGAUUGCGACAACAGGUAAAUGUAAAUACGGGGUGAUACGGAGUGGUUAAGAAUCGAGCCAUCGAGGCCCGUGGGCCCACGCGACGCUGCCGCUGAUCCGUUACCACGUCGUCUCCUUCGUCUUUGGUCUUGCAUUGCGGUCAAUUCACACCGCUUUUUAGUUCCGUGACAGCGAGGUGUGUGUGCUGUUACUUACCGCGGACCGACCACGUUUUUAUCACACGGUGACCUCGUCUUAUCCCCAUGAUGGAACGACAAAUGAGUGUCUCUAUAUGAUUAGUUCUUUUCGUCAAAAUAUAUGAUUAGUUAUAGGAGUUGGUGUCUCUAUAGUCUAGUCCUAAACCUCAUUUCUUUUCUGCGAGAUGCAUGUAGGUAACAAGUCCUUGCUUAAUAGUACUACUGCUAGGGUGUGCUCCUACAUGGUUCUUAAAUCUUACUGGAGGAGUACUUGAGUUUGUGGAAAGAGGAGACAGAGCAGUGAUCUCUCAGCACUUCCCGAUCGAGGAGUAGCAUAAUUCGUUCUUCUAAGCAUCUACCAGAAGGCAUCACUCGAAGGUUCUCCAAUUACACCUGCUCAAGUUCUUGCCUGCGAUAGCACUGAUACAUAAAAAUGCUAGUGCUACAUGCGUACACAACACAAACCUGUAAAGUGCCGAAGAUGGCAACAAAUAAUCACCUGCUGUCAAGGCCAAGAGCUAGAGCAGCAGCAGAGCAGAGAGCCGGAGAAUGGGAUUAUGAUAGUGUGAGUCAGCGCACUUUGCCCACGCGACCCUUGCGCCCCGGAAAAAACAAAGAUAAACCCCCGGAAUAAGAAAGUGCGAGGAAGAAGCCACCAGAACAAAUAAAAGGGCGCGCGCAGGAGAUAAACCGGGAAAACAGAAACGCCCGGCCUCCAUCCACGGAAAACAAAUAUCCUCAACAAAUUCCCCCCCUUCCCUUCUCUUCUUUCCCAAGUGCGGCUCUGCUCCUGAUCUCGCCCUCCAUUGGUGGGCGCCUCCACUUCCACGGCCUCUAUUUAAGAAGGCUCCUUGCUCCACCAUCCUACUCACCACUCACCGCAGCCCCGAUCGCCUCACCAGGAGCUGAGCUGAGCUGCACCGACUGGAUCGAUGCUAAUGGUUUCGUGCGUGUGCUAGUGGUGGCUUAGCGCAUUAGCGGCGGAGAGAGGUUUGGUACGAUCGAGCUGGAGGAGGUGAGGCGCGGCACCACAUGUUGAGUGGACAGCCGGCGGCCAGUGGUAGCAGCAGCACGAGCAGGGAGCGGCCGCAGCGGGUGAUCGAGGAGGAGGAGGAGGAAGAGGAGCCGGAGUUCAGGGACAUCCACGCGCUGAGCCCGCCGCGCGCGCCGCAGUCGUACCGCCGGAGCCGGGCCGGGAGCAGGGACUCGUGGGGGAGCAGGCACACGUCGAUCCGCUCCGUCGGGAGCGACACCGCCCCCAGCGAGCCCUUCCCUAGCAUGAGCAGGGAGUUCUCCGCCAUGGUCGCCGCCGCAGCCUCCGCCAACGCCGCCUCCGCAGAAGCUAGCCGGGCGAACGGGGAGGACGAGAUGGGGCGGAUCGGGGAGGAGGCCGAGGUGGAGGAGACGAACCCGCUGGCGAUCGUGCCGGACAGCAACCCCAUCCCCUCGCCGCGCUGGGGGACGGCGACGGCGAACACGCCGCGUGCGUCUGCAGCGGGCGGCGAGGUGGCGGUGGCGGUGGCGGCGGGCGGCGCCGGACACGGGCAGGGCGACGGGGUGUCGGUGGGGCAGGUGAAGAAGGAGGAGGUGGAGUGCAAGAUCGCCGCGUGGCAGAUCGCCGAGGUCGCCAAGGUCAACAACCGCUUCAAGCGCGAGGAGGUCGUCAUCAACGGCUGGGAGGGCGACCAGGUCGAGAAGGCCAGCGCCUGGCUCAACAAGUACGAGGUACGCAAUCUUUCCCAAUUCGACGCCAUGAAUUUCCUCUAGAAAAGAACUCUUAAGUUCAAUUCUGAAUUACUCAUAGUUCUGACGGAGUUCUAAUUUAACUCGGACGCGCGCGUGCGUGCAGAGGAAGCUGGAGGAGAAGCGGGCCAAGGCGAUGGAGAAGGCGCAGAACGAGGUGGCAAAGGCCCGGCGGAAGGCAGAGGACAAGCGCGCGUCGGCGGAGGCCAAGAGGGGCACCAAGGUGGCCCGCGUGCUGGAGCUCGCCAACUUCAUGAGGGCCGUCGGCAGGGCGCCCACCAAGCGCUCCUUCUUCUGAGCUCUCAGCUCCCCCUCCCGGCCUCCUCCGCUUUGCUCGCUCGCCGUCGUCGUUGGAUCGUUCACCGCUUCGCUUCACGGGAGGGCCAGUUAGCACUGUUGCGUGCUCCUGUGGUUGCUGCUUGCUGUGUGGAACUCUUGUUUUAGUGCUGUAUCCACAUGUAUGGUGUAUCAUCUUCAUCAUCAUCUCUUCUUCUUUUUUGAAGCUUUUCUUUCCUUCUUGUUCUUCCCGUGCUUGUGUGCUUGAUAUGGUGUACUGCAAAGUGGAGGGAACAUACAGAGAAGAAGUACAUAGGCAUAAGAUUGGAGGGUGUGCUCUUCCCUGCAGAGCGUAUGGGCAAGAGCUGCCUGUAUUUUGUUUUGUCAUCAAGGAUUAUGUAUUGUCAAUAUGAACAAGAUAAGCAGUUAACUGUACUGUUUAAUUAUUUGUGUACAUUUGCAAGCUUUCUGGGUCAUCAUCACCUUCUUGAUUUCUGUGAUUCGUCUCUGUCAUUUGCUUCAUCUGUAAUACUCCAGAACAUUGUCCUGCUUUGUUAAUUUAUGGCUCCCUAAAUGCUCAACUAACAACACUUUGACACAAAUCACGGAGGCCAGCGUACUGAAGAAGAGUCAUUCCUUUGCUCUUUGACUUCUGAAGAUAUAGAGCAAAGAGUAAUUUCGUACCGCUGCUGAACCCUGUGAAGUUGCUGCCUUGAUUCUGGCAUGCGACCUACCGGCUUCAGUUUCAACAACGGAACCUCUGUUGUUUGCCCCGGCCCCCGGUCACUUUUUGUUGAGACUUACUCCAGUAGUAGAAUUAGAGAAGUUUAGGUGGAGAUACUUAUCAUCAGCUCACUGCCACUACAACGAAGUCAAACUUCGAAAGGAACGGCAGCAAUCUAACACAGCCAACUACGUAGGUCAUGGUCAUGUGUAGUUAAAUUAUAGAACAUGCUCCGGAUUACAAGAACCGUGCCCUCAGCUAACAUUUGCAUUUCUGUAUCCUAUUCUGCUAUUCAAGAGGAAAGCAACCUUGUUCUUGAUUGUGAUGUGGAAACUCAACCGUUCUUGUAUAACACCAGACACCAUUUGCACCAUGUUCAGAAAUCAGAAGUGCCUGACUUUGUCAGCUUAAGAUUUGGAGCAGGAAGUUCAGUCAAAGGUCCUGUUUGGAUUGACUUCUUGCGCGGGGGGGGGCUAAUGGAUGGACACUCGCCGCUCUGAUUUGCAAGGGUUCUCACGGUGAUUUUGCAGGAUUUUCACACCAAACGCUUCGAAUCCCGUAGGAUAAUUAUGUCCACGUGCAGUAUAUGACACUCCAACAAAAACGACCGAACCUGAAUUUGGGAUCCGACAAUGCCUGGAAAUCCUGUGAAUUACCGCGCUUUCUGAACAGAGGAUACGAAUCCAUGGAUGAUGGAUCCCCUGAACUUGGACAAGAGAGGGAGACCCACAGUGUGGGCGGGCCUCUGCUCGUAUUGAAUGCUGUUACCUUGUAGUGGGGCGCGACUUCGUCUCCUGGGCCAUGAUCUGGAUUAGCCCAUGUGCACACAAGGUGGGCAUCAUUCGCGGUGAAUCAAACGAGCUCACAUGUGUUGUACGCAAUGUGGCCUGUUCUUGUGUUUGCUCACGUCACAUGGUGUGUCCCGAAUUAACCUGACGAGACACGCAAGUAUUCCAUAACGCCUUAACAAUACUGCAAUAUCAUGUUUGCAAGAAUCUAUAAAGAUGGCAAAUUGGGUCACCGCCGAGGCCAAUCACUUGAGGAUUAUCGUGUCGAGAGAGUAGAUGGCUGUACCGACUUGGGGCUCUGGCAUGGAUCCAUCAGUGUAAGACAGUUCCAACCAUUCGAAAUGAUGCUCACUGUGUCAUCACGAUUGGCGGUAAAUAUAUUACACACAGACGGCAGAAAAGCAAAGCGAGCCGGAGGUACCUUGUCUGGUCAUAAGAUUGUUGCAGAGAACUUAUAUGUACAAAAAACUGCAUGGUCAUGGAAGAAAACACGACGAUCACUGUACAUGGCACACCAGGUAAAGAACUAAUUAGUGCAGCUAAGGAUACCUUUCUUUUAUUUCUGAUGAGCGGAGCAGUACGCAGUAUCUCCUGACCCUAUAUAAGACUAUCAUGAUGUUCUCCACUGCUCCCUCCAGCAAAUGUCUCUGAAGUUUCUGGCAGAUCAUCUACACUGGACAAAGGCUUGUCCACAGCAGAAGCAUCUAUGUUUGAAGGCUCUGGCAGGUCAGGCACAUCACUGUAAGGCUCGUUUACUGAAGGUGCAUACGUCUCUGAAGGAUCUGUCCGAUCAACCACAUCAACCAACGGCUCAUUGGCGGCAGAAGCAUACACCUCUGAUGGUAAGGGCGCAUCGACCACAUCAACCAAAGGCCCAUCCAUGGCAAAGGCUUCUUCAUCUGAAGAUGAGAAUGUACUGAACAAAUUAUCUGAACCAAAAGGGGCAGCUUCAUUGUCAAUGUCCUCCAGAUCAGAAAUUUGAGCUUCAGAAUCAGAUGAUUCUCCAAGCAAGACUUCGAGAGACGGGCUGCUAUUAUUUGUUCUCUCUGCUACGAAAGGCAUGCCCAAGAUGUCAUUCUCGCACUCAUGUAGCAAGUCAUAAACCCUUUGCAGCUGUGGCCCUGCAGUAGGGGUCACGUUAUAACUAGCUCCAUUACCUGCAAAAAGAUCUUCGAAAUGAUUUCCAGUCGCAGUGUUCCUUGAACUGAUGGCUUCAGUGGCAAAAACUACACCAAGCGACUCUAUACUGCUCAAAUCUAACCAGGAGUGUUCCACCUCUGGUUUCAUGAGGGUUUCAACAGGGCCGGAGUCCAAGCUGCUAUUAUCGAUCCAUGUUUUCUUGGAAUCAGGAAACUCAAAGAAUACAGAGUCCAUCCCACCAGAAAGCCUAAUGUUGUUCUCUGUAAUCUCCAGAUCUCCAUCCUUAUCUGACAAGGUUUCCAUUGCAUUGACACCAUCCCUGGUAGCACCAUUUGCAGGAGAUGCACAGUUUGAUGAUUCAAAAGUUGUGUUAAUGGAUAGGUCACCAGAAAUAUUUCCGUCUCCCUCAUCAAUCUCCAAAGCUUUCUUCACUAGCAAAAGUUGGAACAUUGGGUUCUUCUGGCCCACCUUGCGGUCAGCAUCUUCCAAGUUCUUAUGAGCUCCUGGGGAUGUUCUCUUGAAGGAGGAUAUUGCAGCACCAUCGUUACCAAGGCACACCUCAGAAGGACCAUUCCUGAAAGAGCUAGCAUUUCUUGCUGCAAGAAACUCUGCCAAGGAUACAACAGGUCUGCUUUCAUUCACUUGAGCUGUCUUAUCAACAGAUUCCCAAAUAGUUGAAGAUUUUUCUUUCAUCUGAGUUCCAUCAGCAACUGACCCCAGAAGUGUAGGAGGAGGCUGAGAAGGAUCAUCCACAGGUUCAUUGCUCAUGACAAAUGUCAUUGUGUCCAAAGUAGGAUCAUAAUUCUUUCCGUUUACCUGCGUACGGUCAUCAACAGAUCCAGUAUGAGGCCAUGAAGGAACACUCCAUGGUUCAGUGCUAGCAAAUGCCGUCUUGUCAGGAUAGAGAUCAAUAUUCAGUUCAUUUACCUCAACAUUCCCGACCAAGCGUGCCUUAGAGACAGAAGUGGGUGGAACCACAUCAACUUCCUUACUUACAUCACCAAAUUCACCAUGAAAUUGGCCAACUGAUCCAUCUUUAGUGGAUAUCUCAUCAGCUUGUCCAUUAGAAAGGGAGGAACUUGAGGAAUCAAUUGUAUUUUCAGCACUUAAAUUACUGGCGGUGCAAGCAACAGACUUCGAGGGUGACGUAGCUUUGGUGGAAUUGAGAAAUGCCUCCAAGGCGAAUGCUAAUGCACCAUCAAUAGUAACAGGAGCUUUGCCUUUGGGGUCGUUGACAGUGCUUUUGCUCAGAGUAUCAUCAGAGUUUGUAUGACGAUCAUCAAGAUCACCAGCUGUUUCUUUGACAUCCUCCACUUCAUCGUCUUCAUCAUUUGGGAACUCUGGAACCUUAACAGCUAGACCUGGUGUACUCUUACGUUCUUUCUCAGAAGAUGAAGCAGAAUCAGCUGGUGGAAAAGGCCCGUGAUGAAGCUUCUCACAAGUUACCUCAGGUUCACAUAUGAAAUCAGAAGCCCUAACAUUAGGUCCACGUAUUGUAUUCUCAUCGGCCAAAUCACAACCACAGGAAUCUUCUAAAGAAAAUUCUGGCGCCCUGAUAACCAAGCCUGGCUGCCUGUUCAUUAUAGAAGCAGAAGUUCCAGUAUUGCCACUAUAAUGUUCCUUUUCCUGUGAGUUAGUGAUAUCAGAGUAAACAUUUGGGACUGACAUUCUUGCAGACAAAGACUGAAUCUCUACAGAAAAUGAAUCAAACUGUUGCUCCAGCCGCUUAAGCCUUGCCUCAAUGCUACCGAGGGGCCUCAUCAUACUGUCCUCAAACCUAGAGCAAUAUAACUCCACUUUAUCCACCUUGGAGAGGAGAAUUUCCAGCGUCUUCUCAAUAGGAUUGUGCGGAGUAAAAUUUCCAUUCAUGACAGGACCAGUGUCCUGAUCCAUAUUUGAUACUCUCUGGCCCUUUGCCGAUGCCACUUGUAUAUUUUCUGUUGUUCGCUCAGGCAAAGGGAGAGGUCUGGGAACAUUUAAUGGGAACUCACCUUGGUUGCUUUUUUCAUUAGAGAUCGUAUCACCCCCCAUAGGUGGUAUUCUGUUUUCCAACCCAGCUGACAUAAAACUUGAAUCAUUUGUGCCACACAUUGCUGCUUCUAAAUCAAUCUUUCCACAUGGGCUGCUCUCUUUCAAUGCACAACCUUCAGGAAGUUGUGUCCUCAGGCCAUCAGGAAAAUAACUGUCAUCUAUUUUGCACUUUGUAGAUUUGGACAUUUGCAUAAGACCAGGAACAAGCAUAGCCAACAAAGAACUACCUCCCAUGUUUCCAGGACCAGCUACUGACUCAUCACUGGUGGACCCAACAUUAUCAGCAAAUAUGUAGAUCUCUUCAAGGUGCACUGAUGUCUUUGACUCUAGUGAAAGAAGACGGACAGUAAGAGAAACACAUGGGCUUGCGUCAGUUAUCUCAGCAGUUGCUUCAUAGUGUGCCUGGAUUAUGCAAAAUAAAACAACAAUGUCGUAAUUUGUAAGAAUCUAGGAGAAGUAUUUUUACAGUGAGUAUCAAACAAUAUUUAUUGACAAGACCAAAAACGAGAGGAAAUACCAGAGUAUUUUUCUGGUGGGUUCCAAUCGCAUUCCUUUCUUGAGAUUCAGGUGUGUUGCUUUCCAGAGGAGACUCUGGAACUUUGACUUCAACCCAGCUAUCUUCAUCACUACUACUGGUUACACUUUUGGUCUCUUGUUCAUGCUUUUCAACAGAUACAGUAUUGCUACUCCCCUGAGACAUACACUCUUCACCAGAGGGCAGCGGUUCAUUAGCAGCAAGUCCACAGCGCACAGUGCAUAGAUAAUCCUUGCUGGUAUCCUUCAGGUUGGUUGAAUAGUAUAUUUCAUAAAUCCGGGCUGUGCUUUUCACAUACACUCUAUGAAUCUCAUACUUUCCUGUGAAAUUAACUGAAAGAAGAAGUGAAUUAGUUACAUCGAUACAGAAAUGGAAAAUGAAUUGAAAUUCAGCGGGGAAAUGUUCUACACUAUUUAUAGAACAAAAUGGAGACAAACUAGAAAUUUGGCCAUGAAAGCCACGCUAUGAUGGACUACAUAGAAUGAUAUAGAGCCUGACUUCAGAUUUGCAAUGCAGAUACAAGGCGGAUUGAAUAAAAGAUGACAAAAUAAAAGCAUACUAGUUGCAGUUCCAAAAUUAAUUAGCCUCUGGUGCUCGCUGAAGCUUUCGCAAGUCGACAUGGACGGGCACCAACGGCGCGAAGGAUCGCAUUGCAGUAGCCUCUGGUGCUGGCUUCCUUUGGCACCGGGUUGGCCUGUGUGUUUUGUUUUAGCUGGGCCCUGGAUGCGAUGUAUGGCUUGUAUUUCGCUACUGUUUUGGGCUACAUUUUCCUGUUUCUUUGUUGUUCUUUUUGCUUACAUUUUGGACUACUCUUUUGUAUGCUGGCGGUUUCUAUAAUGGAAAUCGGUGGAGAGAGCCCACUGUUUCUAUUUUUUUAUUAAUUAGCCGACAAAAUUCUGCCCUGUCACUAUACAAGAAAGGAAAUACUUUAUGGGAAUUAAAGCGUGAUCAAGGGUGGGCAAUUUGUAGUGGAACAUAUUUACUUCAAUGUCGAGCUUCUGGAAAAAAGUGGAAGCUAAAGCUGUCAAAAUCGAGCCAGGUCUUUUCCGAAGUACUCCCUCCGUCCCAUAUUAAGUGACUCAAAUUUGCUCGAAUAUGGGUGCAUCUAUAUCCCAAAAGUGUCUAGAUACAUGUAAUAUUUCGUCACUUAAUAUGGGACGGAGGGAGUAGUACCAAAACUACUAAUUGCUGUUGGAGUGAUCAUGGGGAGAAUACGAAGCUCUGAAAUUUUAUACAUUUUAGUAUACAGCCUAUAUCACAUAUAGUGAUCGGAUAUCCACUUCAAAUAUGAGCCUUUGGACAGGAAAAUGGCCCCUGAAGUGUCUGCAGCGACAAGGGUUUCACUGAUAUACGAAUAGGCCAAUUCGAAUGGACUCUGCAAGUCUCCAACAGCAAUAGCCAGUUUGGUGUGCUUAGCUCGUAUACUAGCCCACUAGGGUUUAUCCAACCAUACGCUGACUAUUGCAAAAGAUUAAAUUUCAACAGUGCUUGCAUCUGCGUCCGAUCAGCGACAUGGAACAACGGCACGGCGCAAUUCGCAAUCAAACCUCCCGAAAUCUUUCACUAGGCUACAACUUUCCAAGGCAAAAACGAGGACCCACCAGUAACUUCGCAUGGAGGGGGAUCCUCUCCGCCGUCGGAGGGCGGGCGGGCGAGGACGACGGCCGUGGGGGAGGACUCGGCGUCGUCGGUGGACGUCUCGAAAGACACGGCGUCCUCGACCGUCGCGGCUCCGGCCGGAGCCCAGGUGCUGGUCGCCGUCCAGGGCCGCCCGGGCUCGCCUCCCGAUCCCGAUGCCGCCAUCGCUCCCCGACUGCCUCCAGCCGCGUAGUGGGUGGGGAAAUCGGCGGUGGCGUACUGGUGGGGUUCGCCGUUGGUCGCUUAGCUUCGCUUCAGGAUUCCGUCAGGCGCUCGCUCACUUCACGACGAAUCUGGUGCGGGAUCUCAUCCUACAUUCCGACAGGCUACAGGCCCUCGAAACAAAAUGGAUUUUGGGAUUUGGGUUUGCCGUUGUCUUGGGCCUAAGUCCAAUAGACCAAUAAUAAGGCCAACUAAACGCAUGGGCCCAUUGCCGCAUUCAUAAAAAACAUGGGCUUCUAGGCCCAUUAAAAAUCGUUAUCGAGUUAUCCACACCGCGAAUGUUUUACCACCGCAGCCGCAGACGAUGCGUCCCGGGCGCGGCCGUCAAGAAUGCAGCUCCGCUUCGUCCCGCUCGCCGCGAGCGCCAUGGCCGGAAGGAGCUUCCUCGCCGAUCUUCCUCGGCCCGUGAGGGGGAGAAGGAAUCAUCUAUGCUACAACGGGAACAAUUCGUCGUCGUCGGAGAAGGACGGCGAGCGUGGUCCGACAGAAGAGGCGCUGCGGCGGCUGGCAGAGCUCGACGCUCAGCUGGAAGGGCUGAAGGAGCCCAAGAUGAGGCCUCCGCCGCCCCCUCCUCCCCCAGGUAAUCAACUAAUCAUUGACUACCGGUCUCGUCGGGCCAACUUGGCUUCUCCGGUCUUCCAUGCGUCCAUACUAUCUUGCCCUCUCAAUUCAAAAAAUCAAUGAUUCAAGAUCUUCAUCACAGCCAAUAAUUGAUUGAGAUCAAGUUUUUGCAGCACACGUGAACCUGUAUGUUCGCGUGUCCUCUGAAAAGAAAAGAAGAUUUUCACGGUGAGUGUGUUACAGCAAGUCAGCAAGGAUGUAUGUUUAGGUCCUACUGAAAAUUGUGUUUAAAGCUGCAUAAACUAUGCAGGAUAGAUGGAUCAGUCCCUUGCACUGAAACUACCUAAUGAAACCCUAUGAAUUCAUAUGCAAAACUUGUGGUCCUCAGCGUAAAUUCUAUGCCUGAAUGCUUCGGUACAGGGUACAAAUGGCCAUUUCUCAAGUACUCGUACCUUAGAAGCUUAGAUCAGUAGUACAAAUCAAGUGCAAAAUGCAGACCAGGCUUGCCAUUUCCUCAUGUAGACUUUUAAGAGCAGUACUUACAUUACAACGUACGGAGUACUUCGUAGAACUCCUAAUGACUGCAAAUGUACUGACCCUCAAAUUGCUUCGUCCUUAUCGACACAGAAGUACUUUCCGAAAUAGUUGAAGCCUUGUCACUUCAUUUCAACAUCACCUUGGCAUGUUAUCUUACCGUGUUUUGCUUGGCAUGCACAGACCCUUUCAUGGACCGGGACAUGAUAAUAACGCGGGGACGACCAAGCGAGGAGCUCCCAGAAAUGACCCCGGCGUACGUAGCCUUCUCAACUCUAGCGCUUUUCAUCUUCACCAUCUUCACCAACGUGAUGUUCAACCUGUACGUCAAACCUUCCGUGGACGGCGUCGAUCAGCCCGUGAGAACUCAGAGAACGGCCCUGCUUAAUCCAGCAGACCAGCUGCCCCAGAGUAGCUCGUCCGAGACGUGAAUGACAAUGAACCGCAGCUUGUUAAAGCAAGAGGGCAUGUGACUUUUUAGCUAAUAAAAGUAAAUGGAUGGUUUGCGCCUCAUAUUUGAUUUUCUGUAUGUAGAUCAAUCCCCACAUGUUCCGAAUGAACUAUAUUUUGCUGGCAUCGAUCGAGGGUUCGUUUUGAUAAUGCAGAGGUUCUGCUGCACAUGCCUGUGUCUGUGUGGGGCUCUACCUCUCGAUGUAUAUUCAGUUUCUUGAUGGCCAAUGAUGACCGAUCAUAGAACGUGGAAGUAAAAGAAAACCGAAUCGACAUCCUGAAUCAAACAUAUCAAACCCAACUGAUUGUAUCAGCAGUAGUCACGGACGGACGCAUAACUUGGAGAACGCCGACAUGACGAAUGAGCUGUGAACUAUGUUCGUGUGGCACGCGGGAGAAGCAGAGCUAGCAGCGGGGUACGUACUCCCGUCCCGUGGUAGCGGUCCCGGGCUCUGCGAUCUUGUACUGAUGAUUUUCUUUCUUUCAGUUGUACAUGUCCUUUGGCUCUUCUGUUUUCCCUAUUCUUUUCUAUCUUAUUAUGUCUCUGCCUUAUAUUGUUCCGAUUCAUACACUGGCCUUUCGGAUUUGUCGGCAGUUUUUGAGUUCCCGUGGAGAUCGUGGACCUUAAUUUCUUGUUGGCUUUCGCUUUCGUUUAAGCAAGAUUCUGAGUUGCUUUCCUAUCGUAGCAGCAGUACGCCUUGGUUUGUCUCCUGUUUCGUCACAGCGCUAGCUAUCGAUUUAUUUUUCGUCUCGCCCGCACAAAAAAAUAAUGUUUUGCUUAUUUCUUGCUCCCUUGAUCCUAAAUUGUUGAAUCAAAUUUGUCAAAAUAUAGAUGUAUCUAUUCUUAAAAAGCGUCUAGAUACAUGUAAUAUUUCGACAACAAUUUAGGAUCGGAGUGACUACGUUAUAUUUUCUUAAUCUAAAUUCCGUUUUAAUACAGUUCCAAAACACCUGAAGGCGAUGUGGCUCCGCAGCAGGCCGAGCUUUGACCCUAUUUUAAACCUCGCAUGUAUUUCCCGUCUUAAGUACGUAUGUAUGUCUUCGAUGCUGCACGCCUGCACAUGAUUAUUUAUUCAUUCGUUUUUCCCAUAUCUAACCCAAGCCCAAGCCUCGAACAAAUACCUGGACGUAUUAGUUUAGAGGAAUCUCGUAACAUGGAGAUCAUAUCAUAGUUUAUCUCUGCCACGAAAGGAGAACAUACUUCAACUCCGCCCCCGGAUCGAGUCAUCGUAUUCCAGCAGUCCAGCUGCCAACACCAGAACACCUCACGUGCCUUUACGUGAGACCCGAAGAGAGGUCUCGGUAAUACGAGCAGUAGCCCUCGCAUUGGCUUUACUUGACAGCUUUUUUCAGGGGAACUUUACUAGGAAACAGAUCCGAAGUGAAAUGAGGUCCAGCAUCAGGCGUGCCAAUCCUUUUCCGACGAAUAAAACUGCAUGGCACCGAUCCAUCGCCCGGCCCAUUUCGUGUCCGCAUCGGUCGAUGGUGCAUGUGCGCCCGUCCGUCCGUCCGUCCCCAGAUCUGGUGCGUCUCAUCCGGACAAAAGCCCUCGGACUGCACGCCCGGACGACGGACGGACACGUCGCCCGCCCGCGGCGCGACGCCACGGCCAGGCAAUGAGCUAGCACGGUGAGAUGUCGAGUUCUCGGCGAACAGAGGACUUCGCUUCACCCGGCCGCGGCGAUCCACGCUGUAGAUCUUCUCCAUGAUUUCGUGAAUCAGUACUGUACUAUUAGCUGGAAGAACCCGAUCGAUCGGGUAAUAAUUGCGGAGGACGGAUCAUCACGGAACGAAUCGAUCGGCCGGGGGCGGUUUGUGCUGUGGUUGGCCGGCAUGUGAUCGGUCAGCCGCGGUGGCCCGGCACAGGGCAGUGCGCUGUGGACACUGGCAAUUUACUUAUCCCUGCAUACCCUGAAGAGCACGCGUGUGUAUGCCGACUCUGGGCUGCUUUCUACAGGCACGUGAUGAUGUGCCAACCGGAUGCUAGUUGUCUCUCACCAGUCAGCUUAACGUCACCCCCCGUGUCUGCUCACACUCGAGUGCUACAAAUCUUUAUUACGGACAGUAAGAUACUGUUUCACCUCUGCUCGUUUUACACGCGAUGUAAUCAAUCGACCCUACCUUAGCCCCUUUGCUGCUAAAAGAAAGCGUCGUACGGUGCAAACGACGACGGCAUGAUUUCUCUCCACACGCGUACGUGGGGCAGUGGCGACGUGCACGCUCGCCGAACGCUCCGGCGAGAAUGAGCAGCGAAAGCGGGCAUCUCCGUGGCCAUGUGGUGCGAAGCGCAGCUAGCUGGACGCAAAAGCUCGCCCGGAAAGCCAAAAGAAUCCUUUUUCUCCUUUCGUUCUCGCCGCGAGCGACCUAGCAGUACUAGCGAGGUCAGGUCGAUACUCGAUCUCUCUUUCUUCCACAUGCGCUCUCGUGUGCGGCCUGAACCUUGUCGGAGGACACGUACUACGUACGUCCAUGCCGCAUUAUUUAGCGACUUCACAUGGGGGGACGAAGAUGGCGAAGGACCCGAGACGGUGCCCAGCUAAAGGGCGGCUACGUGUAGCUUGUACGUCUCCGACAAGGGGGUCAGCCCGUCAAUGUUGUGCGACCAGCUACGUGUCAAAGGAGAGGUGGCCGUGUGACGAACAUUUUAUUGUGUUCAGCGUGCACCGGCUUCAACCUCCCACAACUGACGUUUCCUUGGACGUAGUAAAAAAAGAGAAAGAAAUUGACGUGUCCUUUUCGAUUGUAUUCUUGGUAAGAUGUCCCGCGCAAACAUCUUUAUAUGUGGUAUCUGCCGAAAAAACCCCGUUCGGUGUAAAUUUCAUAAAAACCAUGUAUAGAAUUUUUAAAAAUUCUUAUAAAAAUGCCAUAUUGUGAAGGUGUGGUACUCUACAAAUGUGCAAAAAUUCAAGCAGAAAAUCAAAUGCGUUUGAAAAAUUAAAAAGAGAAUACAAAUGAAUAGUGUCAAAAUUGAAGGCCCACUAUUCAUGUUGAAUUUGUUUUUUUUCGCUCCUACCAAACGCAAUUGAGUUUGAACUUGAAAUUUUACACAUACAUAAAACAUCAUUUCUCUAACAUAUGAACUUUUUUUAGAAUUUUUUGAACUUUUUUCGAUGAAGUUUUCAUAGUUUGCACGGUAGAUGUGGUUUUCAUCGGAUACUUUUCCUAAUUACUUUGGCUCACGAUCCAUAUUAAGUGCUAGCUUUAGUACAACUUUCUGCUAAGUUAAUAGAAAAUUUAAGAUGCUUAUUAUGGAUCGGAGGAAGUAUUACUAUAUUAUUUAGAAAAAACACCAAGUCAGUAAUAGAAAGAGAAGAUAGGUGUUUGUGAGACGGUGUGCACAUGCAUGUAUACAUGUUCUGCCCCAUCUUAUAUAGCUUCAUCGCCCUUUGUUUUCGCGUGUGUUGCCAUACAAAGACAGAAAAUAUCCACGCAAAUUUUUGAUUGGGGGAUUGCAAUAUUGAUCGGUAAGAACAUCCAAUCUAGUGGCCGUGCUGUUAUAUACGAAUGGUGCCUAAAUAAAGUGUAAGGGCAUGCGUCAUAACUGGCCCGUACAAACAUAUAAACAGCCUAGUAAAUCAAUGGCCCAGUUAUAGCACCUACAAUUACGUAAAUCAAUAAGUUAUGUAUUGGAUUUAGGUGGGACUUAAACCAAUUCGUAGCCCAAUAAAGAUAUCGGUCUCAUUAAAUCUUAACCGUUAAAUACCAGAUCCAAUGGAUAGAAUAACUGUGAUGAUGUUGAUCAACGUGAAGUCUCCCUUCAGUACACCUCAUAUUGGUUUUAGUAUAUAAUAGAGAGAUGUGAGGUAACAUAUUUGUUGAAAGUUUACUUUUAGUCCCAUUCAUUGUAUUGUAUAUAAUUGAUAGAUAAUUUUUUAGCUCACGUGGAUAGAUACUAAGUUGAAAACCGAAUUGCUGAUUUUCUAAUUUAUGAUGCCGGUUUUAUAUUACAACAAAGUUACAUUCCAAUGAAGUUGUUAUUUUUCUCUCUCUCUCUCAAUUCACUUAUUAUCUUCAUUCGUAUUACUUGUUACGGUUUUGUCUAGAUACGUAUAUAUCUACAUAAUGAAACACGUCUAGAUACAAGUAUGUCUAGAUAAAGCUGCGACAGUAAUAUGGCCGGAUGGAGUAGUUACUUUUAACGCCACAUAGAGUUUGUACGGAAGUAGAUUGUCAAAUUUCUUGUUAUUAUUUAAUUUUAGUUAUAUAUAGAGACACAUGUGUUUGUCUAGAACCAAUCUCACGCCGCUGCACUGCCCGCCGUUCCUUCAAUCGAACGAUCGGGCCGGUCUUUGCUCGCAGUGUUGGAUCUUGGAUCGUUAGAUUAUUACUCCUGCCUGGCCCGUACAAAUAUACAAAAAAGCCUAGUAAAUUAAUGGUCCAAUUAUAUCACCUAUAAUUACGUAAAUCAAUCAGUUAAGUAUUGGAUUUCAGUGGGCCUUAAACCAAUUCGUAGCCCAAUAAAAAUAGCACUCAUUAAAUCUUAACCGUGAAAUAUCAGAUCCCAUGGACUGAAUAAUUGAGGUGAUGUGGAUCAACGUGGAGCCUCCCCUCGGUACCCCUCAUAUUGCUUUUAGUAUAUAAUAGAUAUCUGGAAGGAGGUGUCAUGUCUCCUUGACAGACAACUAGGUGCUGAUUUUGAUUCAAUUGCUCGUUUAUGGAUGGCUAAUAAAAAUCUGUAUGUAAUAACUCUAUAUAUGCUGUUGUUCUUUAGAGCAUCCGGGCUUUUCGUAAUAACAUGAUUUUUAAUAACCAAGUAUGAUUGUCUCUUAAGCAGAUUUCGUGGCUGAUUCUCCAGUCUCUCGGGAAAUGGUCGUUUCUGUUCAAAGAUACUUUGCUGGACAGGGUGGACUCUUUCUGUCAGAUGGUGUCUCGGCUCCUGGGCGCGCCACCGCUACUGGUUGGGAUCUGAAUGAGGGCAUUUCUGGCCCUCUUUCCCCCACUAAUCUGCCUGUAGGUGUUGUCUCCCCGUUCUCGGGUGUGCUGGGACCGAAACUCCUGAUGCCUUCAGUCAGCCCUAGCUCUGUGCUGGAGCUUCCUCCUCCGACGGCGAACCCAUUGCUGGUUUACGCUGAGCACAAGCUUAUGCUGAAACACCAAGCUUGUGAGCUCGCCGUGCCGCCCCUUAGGACUGCUAUAUCUUCUUGGUGAGGCUGUUUUUCUUCUUGUUUUGGCUGGCUAUGUUUAACCACAAACCAGCUUUCAUUUUGUGUGUUACAGCAUUUGCACGAACCUGGUUUCUUGUUAUAAGGAGCCGGGAGUCCUUGGGCCUCCUGUUGAUUAAAAAUCGCCUCCGGGGAUUAUUGCUCUCGUGAAAGCCAUGCGUUCUGGUUAUCUACAUUCUCCCGGGCAACUGUUUUCAUUCUUGGGAUUAAAGAAGUUCUAAUACUGUUCUCUCUUGUGGACUAAACUAACCAAACGGUGGCACUAGCGAGCUAGGCGACGCACGUCUUGGUUUUGUGGCAGAUCGGCUCGCACAUGUACGCAAAUCAAUGUGAGGAGCCUAAUAAUGUGGAUGGACACCAAAAAACCGGGGAGCGAAAGCUCGAGUUCGGAUUUCCAUAUGCUAAAUCAUGCACACGCCAAUCCAAUCGCUCGAUCGAUGACGCCGCAAGUGGAGCCCGAACCCGCUCGGAUGCUUCCCGGUUACCGCCUCCCUUUGUCCGGUUGCUGCAGUAAGGAAUUCAUCGGUUUCAGAGGAGUGGUCUCCUUUUCCCUGCCAUGCCAUGGUGUUGCUCGUGCUCUCGUACACCUCGCACCGCUGGCUACAACCCGGCCGGCCUCCUCGGUAUUUGAGCACGUCCCGAUUCAACGGAGGUCAAAAAAAUGAAAAGAUAAGAAAAAUAAACUGAAAAUCGGACAUUUAUCCCCUCACGCCCUUUUUAAGACCACCUCGAGAUCGACCUCAUCACUCCCGCACUCAACACUCUCUGGCCAGCCAGCCAGCUCCAAGGCUCUGCGAGGCAGUAGUAGCAACCAGCCAGCCAGCCAGCCCAGAAAGGCCACAACAAUGGCGAAGACAGCCUCGUUCUUCCUCCCUCUCAUAGCGCUCCUGCUCGUGUCUCCGGCGCUCUGCUCGCCGCCGCCCAGCAAGCGUUGCCCCGCGGGCGACCUGCAGGCGCUGCUGCGCGUGAAGCAGGCGCUGGGCAACCCGGCGACUCUCAAGACGUGGUCCGCCGCGUCGCCCGACUGCUGCAGCACGUGGGACCACGUCCGGUGCGACGAGUCCGGGCGCGUGAACAACGUCUUCAUCGACGGCGCGGACGACAUCCACGGCCAGAUCCCGUCGGCCGUGGCGGGGCUGACCGCUCUCAUGUCGCUCUCCCUCUUCCGUCUCCCGGGCCUCCAGGGCAGCAUCCCGGCCUGCCUCACCACGCUCUCCAACCUCCAGUUCCUCACCAUCUCCCACACCAACGUCUCCGGCCCGAUCCCGGACUCGCUCGCCCGCCUCCACAGCCUCGACUCCGUGGACCUCUCCAACAACAGGCUCACGGGCUCCAUCCCAAACUCCUUCGCCGACCUCCCGAACCUCCGCUCCCUCGACCUCCGCCGGAACCUCCUCACCGGCCCCAUCCCUGCCAGCCUCGUCCAGGGCCAGUUCAGGUCACUCAUCCUCUCCUACAACCAGCUGACCGGCCCGAUCCCGCGUGACGACGCGCAGGACGAGAUCAACACCGUGGACCUGUCCCACAACCGGCUCACGGGCGACGCGUCAUUCCUGUUCGCCGAGGGCCGGCCCAUCGGGAAGGUGGAUCUCUCGUGGAACGACCUCGAGUUUGAUCUCAGCAAGCUUGUUUUCCCCAAGGAGCUCACGUACCUAGACCUCAGCCACAACCGCAUCAGGGGUACAGUUCCCAGGUCGCUCGAGGCGCUCUCCACGCUGCAGACGCUGGAUCUCAGCUACAACCAGCUCUGUGGCCCGCUCCCCAAGCUGCACGGCGUCAUGCGACACGGCUGCAAGCCCUACGAGCAUAACAUGUGCCACCGCGGGGCGCCGCUCGAGGGCAGCUGCCACCAGCUGCUGUGAGCGAGCUCUCGCCGGCCGGAUGGAGGCGUACGUAUUUUACAUGUGUGCGUGAUGAUGACGGUGUGCUUUUGGGGGGUUUAGUAGUGUAAACUAGUGGUGACGCAUGCCCUGACACGCGUGGUCGUCGUCCUUGAGGCUUUGUGUACGUACGACACGCGGCGGGAGGUGUGUGCUUGCCGGUGUGCACGUACCGUCCGGAGAU
rnacentral:lncRNA from 1 species